rnacentral:lncRNA from 1 species
UGCUUGGUCUGGGCCAAAGCUACUGAGCUUCGACAUUCUGCAUUGUUGCUUCUAAGUAGAGUCUUCGUCUUGAGGGGCUAGACCGAGGCUGAAGAUAGCUUCAAUGAGCCUUCAUGUUAUUUUGCCAAAGGUUUUUUUGCCUUGAGGACCUUCGGUAGAGAAGAAGACCCCAACAGUCAUGAAGAACAGGUCUUCAUCAUUCACAAAUAAAAACAUAGUUACAAAUGUAAUAUUAUGCCAUUUAUUCAUUUCGUAUUGAAUGUCUAAACGAUAUCAAGAUAUACAUUACAUUGAUACCUUCGGCUUGAUUGAAGUUAAAAACGUGAAUGCAGUUACAGUCCUGCGUGAACAGUAUGUGGGUAUUGUUCACCUAUUGAUAGGCAAUCAUAUAGCUUUGUACGAUAUUACAUUUGUGUCCUCGAAGAAUACAUACAAGGUUUACAAAUGUCACAGGGACAAUUUUGUCAUUUGCACCUAGCAGUUUGAAUGAACACCUUCUUCCUAUGCCAUCUUCCUACGUCAUCGUAACGAAGCUUGCUUCGUCGCACCUCCUUUGAUCAAAACCGAAGCUUUUCUGGUAACGAAGCUUCUGUAAUACUUAAUAAUUUGUAAAGCCUAAAAUUGGUAGGAGAAAAAAAUAUAUAUCAUAAAAUAAUAAAAUAAAGAAAUAAAAGUAUAUAUAAUAGUGUGGUGAGAAUAUUUGAAGACCUUUGAAAAUCUAUUAGGACUCUCCCUCCUCAUAUUCAAACAAUAAUAUUAAAUUAGUUAAGUAACUAAUAAAUAGAUAAAUAAAAAGUUGAUCUCUUGAUGAUAAUUUUGCGGUGAUGCAUUUUAAGGAAAACAUAAACUUGACCUCCAAGUUUAAAUAAAAACAUAAAGUAGAAAUAAAAAAGAAUACACAUUAUAAGAUAACAAUAAUAAAUAAUAUUGUUUUAGACAGUGGAAAUAUACUUCAUGUAGACUUUUGUUUGAUAUUUGAAAUCUAGAGUUCAAAACAAGAAUUUGAAUUUAGUUUGAAUAAAUUGAAAUGGAAAUAAAGAAUAAAAGGUUGGAAAAGAAAAGAGAAAAGGAUUGAUGGGUCUCGGUUUGGGCCAAAUUGACCAGGUCGACCCAGAUACUCGCCCGCGCUGGCCCACUUCUCCUCCUCUCAGCCGGCCCAACCUUAAGCCAAUCCCCAGCGCGUUGGUCCACUAACAGUCGGGCCCUGGUAGCCAGUCACCCCGCGCGUCGGCCUCUCCUCAGCUGCGCCCGCACGGACUCACUGUUAUAUGGGGCCCGCCCGCCAGUGUCCCGUCCUCGUCUGCAUCGCGUGUCUCUAGCAUGUGGGGCCGUCAGGUCAGAUUCGUCCCUUUACUAGAACGUCGUGGGCGCUGCCAUGGAAUCCCCACGGAGAUCGCAGGUGGCCAACAGUAUCCACGAGAUCCUUGGGGGCCGACAUGACCAACUUGCCAACGCCUUCGGACUAUAAAAGCGAGCCCUGGUGACCUCCUUCCUCCUCGAACGGGGGCACCAAAACGACUCUGCAGAGCAUCACGUCGACGACUAGCGCGGGGUUGGGCGCCGCCGUGCACAAAAUUAGUGUGUAGCGCGGGGGUGGGCGGCCCCCAUUGACGGCCCUCCGGCAAAGCCAACUAUACCCCCAGGUUCAUCUAAUUAAUCAGCUAAGGACGUCCCAUUCCACCCUCAUGAAUGCACUGUUAUCCCGGGGGGUCACUCCACGAACAGGUCCUUACGAAGAGGUACUCAGGGAAAAUGGCCUGAGCCCCCUUGUCGGCGUUUCGACCCCGGGGGGUCCCUGGACCGACGAGUAAAUUGUCGCCGCGUGCCCCAGCCCAGAUGGGUCGGCGCGAGACGGAGCGCGAAGGGGGGAAAACCGGAGGGAGACAUGCGUAAAAGGGGAAACCCACGGCCUUCGUGUUUGUCCCGCGCCCAGGUCGGGUGCGCUUGCAGUAGGGGGUUACAAGCGUCCGCGUGGGAGGGAGCGAGAGGCCUGCACGCGCCGUCCCGUCCUCCCCGCGUGGCCAACCUUCCGUAAGAGGGCCCUGGACCUUCCUUUUAUAGGCGUAAGGAGAGGGUCCAGGUGUACAAUGGGAGAUGUAGCAGUGUGCUAAUGUGUCUAGCAGAGAGGAGCUAGUGCCCUAAGUACAUGCCGUCGUGGCAGCCGGAGAGGUUUUGGCACCCUAUUCAAGAGAUGUCGUGGCCGUUGGAGGAGCGCUGGAGCCUGGCGGAAGAACAGCUGUCGGGGCUGUCGAGUCCUUGCUGACGUCUCCUUGCUUCCGUAAGGGGGCUGAGAGCCGCCGUUGUCAUGGAGCACGCGGGGCGCCAUCAUUAUUUGUUUUACCGGGGCGAGCCAGAUGGGACGCCAGUCUUGUUCCCCGUAGCCAGAGCUAGCUAGGGGUAGGGUAAUGAUGGCCCCUCCUAUGACGUGGUCGGUCCGAGCCCUGGGCCAGGCGAGGUGGAGGCUCCUCCGAGGUCGAGGUCGAGUCUGUCUUCCGAGGUCGAGGUCGAGUCCGAGCCCCUGGGUCGGGCGAGGCGGAGACCGUCGACUGAGGCCAGGGCCGAGUCCGAGCCCUGGGGUCGGGCGAGGCGGAGUUCGUCGUCUUCCGGGGCCGAGGCCGAGUCCGAGCCCUGGGGUCGGGCGAGGCGGAGUUCGUCGUCUUCCAGGGCCAAGGCCGAGCCCGAGCCCUGGGGUCAGGCGAGGCGGAGUUCGUCGUCUUCCGGGGCCGAGGCUGAGUCCGAGCCCUGGGGUCGGGCUAGGCGGAGUUCGUCGUCUUUCGGGGCCGAGUCCGAGCCCUAGGGUCGGGCGAGGCGGAGCUUCCUAUGGCGCCCGAGGCCGAACUUGGCUGCUGUCAGUCUCACUCUGUCGAGUGGCACAGCAGUCGGAGCGGCGCAGGCGGCACUGUCCUCUUGUCAGGCCGGUUAGUGGAGCGGCGAAGUGACUGCGGUCACUUCGGCUCUGUCAACUGAAGGGCGCGCGUCAGGAUGAGGUGUCAGGCCAUCCUUGCAUUAAAUGCUCCUGCGAUACGGUCGAUUGGCGUGGCGAUUUGGCCAAGGUUGCUUCUUGGCGAAGGCUGGGCCUCGGGCGAGCCGAAGGUGUGUCCGUUGCUUGAGGGGGCCCUCGGGCGAGACGUAAAUCCUCCGGGGUCGGCUGCCCUUGCCCGAGGCUGGGCUCGGGCGAGGCGAGAUCGUGUCCCUUGAGUGGACCGAGCCUUGACUUAAUCGCACCCAUCAGGCCUUUGCAGCUUUGUGCUGAUGGGGGUUACCAGCUGAGAUUAUGAGUCUUGGGGGUACCCCUAAUUAUGGUCCCCGACAGUAGCCCCCGAGCCUCGAAGGGAGUGUUAAUACUCGCUUGGAGGCUUUUGUCACACUUUUUUGCAAGGGGACCGGCCUUUCUCGGUUGCGUUUUGUUCCAGUGGGUGCGCGCGAGCGCACCCGCCGGGUGUAGCCCCCGAGGCCUCGGAGGAGUGGUUUGACUCCUUCGAGGUCUUAAUGCGUUUCGUGAUGCCUCGGCCGGUCUGGUUGUUCCCUCAUGCGAGCUGGCCGUAGCCCGGGUGCACGGUCGGGUCCCAAGUUCUCGGGCUGGUAUGUUGACGCUGUCAACGGUUUGGCCGGAGCCGGGUUUGCGAGAGCAGCUCCCGAGCCUCCGCACAGAGCGAGAGGACGGUCAAGGAUAGACUCGACUUUUUUACAUACGCCCCUGCGUCGCCUUUCCACAAGGAGGAGGGGGGGGGGAAGCGCCAUGUUGCCCUUGGAGGGCGCCGAACAUGGUGUCUCCAGUGAGCUGCUAACGGGUAAUCCGAGUGGACGCCCGUGCCCCAUUUGUUAGGGGUCGGCUAGUGGCCCGGAGGCGCGCUCCAAAAGUACCUGCGGGUGAUUUGCCGGACCCGGUCCCCUUUUGACGAGGUCUGAGGGCUCGAUGCCUCCCUCUGAUGGGAUUCCGUUACAAAAUUGUUCCCGUUGGUCUCGGAAAUGUCCUAGGGUACCUCGGGAGCGUAGCCCGAGCCUUGGUUAUGUAUCGAACGUACCCAGGGUCAUCCCUUGCUCUGCGUCUGAGGCGGCUGUCGAACCCUUCGAGGGCCAGCCUACGAACCCCUGAUCAGUAGUGGGCGCGGAGCCCGAGUGGCCUGAGGUGGCCGUUGAACCCUUCCGAGGGGCCGGCCUUCGAACCUCUGACCAGUAGUGGGCGCGGAGCCCGAGCGCUCUGAGGCGGCUGUUGAACCCCUCCGAGGGGCCAUCCUUCGAACCUCUGAUCAGUAGGGGGGCUCGGGGCCCGUUUCCUUCGCGGAGAAGGAUCCCUUUCGGGGUAUCCCCUUUCUCGGUCCCUGUUGUAAGAGAGAGAAAGAGGAAGAGGAAAAGGAUACAAAAUCAAAUGACGUGGCACACCUUUUUUGACGCGGUCAUUAUGGCGGAGGUGAAGCGUCGCCGGCUUCUCCUGCCAAAGGUGCCGCCUGUCCUGCCGCAGAGUUAAUGCGACGGGAUGAGUGAUUCGCGGGGCAGCCGUUGCGCGUGCGCGGGCCGUUCGAGGAACGGAACACGGGCGCGCCGUCUUCACGCCGUGGGAGAGGGUUCUCCCGCUGUCCCAGGAGGGGACGUGAGCUUGGCUGACGACUUGACCGCUGCUUCCGCCCGCCUGCCACCGCCAUUACUGCCGGCCCAUUUCUGGCCGUAUCGACCGUUGCGCCUUCUCCCGCGGCUGACUGACCCGUGACCGAUGUGCCUGGUUGGCACUGUUGGGUCAUGCGCAGGGUUCCCUCGAGCCGCGGUACUGGUUCCGCAGUCGAGGAGGCACGGUAGUGGCGCGAGUGGCGGUGCAGUUUCUUGCACGUAGCAACCGGCGCGCCGGUUACAUGACGUGUGGGCUUGGGCCUCCAUGCUGGACGUGUCGAAGUCGAAAGGGUGCGCCCCCUUGGUGCGGUUGCAUGCCGCCUGCAUGGCGGUUCGCCCUUUCGCCCGCUGGCCUAGGUGGAAGUGGAGGAAUGCUCGUAACCGCCGGGUAUUUGUGCGCACCGCGCGCGGCGGUUUGGCUUCUUCUGCCCUAGGCCAACUUGCAUGACGCGUGGGACCCAGCCCCCGUGUCGUAGGGGGAGGACCUUGGAGCGUGUUGGAGAAGACUCAGCCCGCGAUGGUGAGGACGCAAGUGGGGAGAGUUGCCUUUAAAAGGAGGGUGGCCCCCUUGAAAGGCAACCAUGUCUUCGCGCUCCCCUUAUGCAUCACGUCUUCCCACCUUCCGAGCCCCCGGAUGGGGGACACUCGCAGUUCUUCCGCCUUGUCGUUGGAGGAACGCAACUUCGCGGAAGUUGGUACCUUUCAGCCAUCGUUCGGCUUCAAGGAUUUUCAUCAGCCAGCCCGGCCGCAUCCCCUCGCCGGUGGUCACCCAAGACGGUGACCACCAGCUCCUGGGUGGGGAGAAGCAAGCCGGGCUGCGAUCUCUGCCCCGCCCUCAGCUUCAAGGAUGUUCAUCAUCCUUGCUGGGGCGGAGAGCGAGGUGAGCCGGGGCUCUACCUCCCGCAUGGGUCGGCUGGCCACCUCUUCUUCCAGCUUCUGGUGGUGGAAACCAUCCUCCAGCUCUGCGGAGGAGGCGUCCUCCAGCCAUGCCAGGGAAGGCGAACUGUUGCUGCCCAGCUAGGAUGCAACAUUCUAUCUUCUAUCCUCGCUUUCGUGGCGAGGACGGGAGCGAGGACCUGCCGGUGCGCUUUGGAGCGGCCCGCGCUCGCUGGUGCGGCGUUGGUGGACAGGCGGACGCCGCCGUCGGUGCUGACGUGGUGGCAGCUGGAGAAAGCUUCCCCAUCGUCGAGGCCGUCAGUGCCGCCUACGGACCGACCUCCGGCUCUUUGGCUUUAAUGUCUGGUUCGCGUCCCUUGAGUGGGGACGCGAACGAGAGCCUUCCGGUGGCUGCGUCCGUCCAGGGACCAUGGCUGCUGCUGCAGAGGUCGCUGGCGAGUCGCCCGGAGCUUGUCGCCCCGCAGGCUCCCUGGUGUGGAGGUGGUUCAUACCCGCGGGGACGGAACCAGAGUUCCAUUUGUAAUGGCACCUUGAGUGCCAGUGUCUAUUCAUUGUGGCUGUCGGGGCCUGAACAUGUAGGUAUUUUUGGCACGGAGCCGUGUUUUUUCCUCAUUCCGAGCACUAGGACUCGCCUGUCGACUAACUGAACUGCUUAACCAAGUGUGAGUUGCCUCGUGCGAAGGUGACGAGUGAGGUAUCCGUAUCCCGGAGGCGUAGGAGUACCUCGGCUCGUUCGGCCUCGCCGCCCGAGGCUUCUCUUGCUUAGUUAUAGGAACCCUCGGCCGCUCUUCGAUGAGCCGAAGCCGAAGGCAGCGGUGUCAGUGUGGACAGAGGCAGAGUUGGCUCAAAAAGAAGACUUCGUUGGCCGGAGCCUGGCCGGGCCGUCCACCGGCGAGACCAACGCCGGAGUUGAGUUGCCGAGGCCAUGAGCCGGGCUGAUGUCCUCGGGGGACAACUGGCUGAGGCUUCGGGGUGACCGGCCGAGCCGUCUGCACGGGCCGGGUUCCUGGAGAAGACCCUGGCGGCGAUGGCCCGGGCGUGGUGCUGAUGUCGUCCUUCGGAGUGGAGAUCCUCCGACCGCGUUGCCGUCCGAGGCUCGGUCGGGCUUUGCCGAAGGUGUAGUUGACACCGAGGGUGCUGCUGCUCUCCCUCCGUCAAGGUUCGAGCCUGCAUGAUCGGUUUAUCUUGUAGUGUGCGUAUGUUUUCUGCGGCCGCCGAGGUCCAAACAUACUGUCGUCGUGUUGUAAAGCUGCGUUUCUUUUCCUCUUGUUUCGAGUAUAUGGACUUAUUUGUCGGUAACAGAAUUGUUUGUCCGAGCAAGAGUUACUUUUCACGGAAGGUGAUGAGUGAGGUAUCCGUAUCCCAGAGGCGUAGGAGUCCCUCGGCUCGGUCGGCCUUGCCGCUUACGUGUACUCUUACUCGUCUAUAGGAUUCUGCCAUCGAUAUAGUCAAGAAGGCCCGAAAAAUCAUUUCGGCAGAAGAGUUUUCGAGCGUGAAGACUUGUUCGGUCCGCGGAAUCACUUAUCCGAGCGUGAGUUACUUAUCGCAGAAGGUGAUGAGUGAGGUAUCCGUAUCCCGGAGGCGUAGGAGUCCCUCGGCUUGGUCAGCCUUGGCUGCUUACGUGUACUCCGUCGUUUUUAGGAUCCCACUUUCGAAGUAGUCGAAAAGCACGAAAGACGUUCUGGCAGAAAAGAUCUUUUCCAAGGAAAAUUUUGACGUGGAGGGGGUUUCCCCCUUCUAGCCCCCAAGGGAGGGUCGGGCUUUGCCGAGGCAAGGCUGACCCUUCCUUGAUGGUUAGACUUUGUGUGUGAACGAGGUGUACGAACGACUUGAAAGCAUCUUAAGGGUAGAAGCGACGUAGCUGUCGGAUGUUCCAAGCGUUGCUGUAGACCUCGCCUUGACUGUUGGCCAGCUUGUACGUCCCAGGCUUCAGAACCUUGGCGAUGACGAAUGGCCCUUCCCAGGGAGGCGUGAGCUUGUGCCGCCCACGAGCGUCUUGUCGCAGCCGAAGCACCAAGUCGCCCACCUGGAGGUCUCGGGACCGAACCCCUCGGGCGUGGUAGCGUCGCAGGGACUGCUGAUACCGCGCCGAGUGUAGUAAGGCCAUGUCCCGAACCUCUUCCAGCUGGUCCAGUGCGUCUUCUCAGUUAGCUCGAUUGCUUUGGUCGUCGUAGGCCCUCGUCCUCGGGGAACCGUAUUCUAAGUCUGUGGGCAAGAUGGCCUCGACCCCAUAGACUAGAAAGAACGGUGUGAAGCCCUUGGCUCGGCUCGGCGUUGUCCUCAGGCUCCAGACCACCGAGGGGAGCUCCCUCAUCCAUCGCUUGUCGAACUUGUUGAGGUCGUUGUAGAUCCGUGGCUUGAGUCCUUGCAGGAUCAUGCCGUUGGCACGCUCUACUUGCCCAUUCGUCAUGGGGUGAGCCACGACGGCCUAGUCCACCCGGAUGUGGUGAUCCUCGCAGAAGUCCAGGAACUUUCUGCCGAUGAACUGGGUGCCGUUGUCGGUGAUGAUGGAGUUCGGGACCCCAAAGCGAUGAAUGAUGUUGGUGAAGAACGCCACCGCCUGUUCGGACCUGAUGCUGUUUAGGGGUCGGACCUCGAUCCACUUGGAGAAUUUGUCGAUGGCGACCAGCAGGUGCGUGUAGCCCCCGGGUGCCUCCUGCAAGGGGCCGACGAGGUCUAGACCCCACACAGCAAACAACCAGGUGAUGGGUAUCGUCUGUAGAGCCUGAGCGGGCAGGUGGGUCUGCCUUGCGUAGAAUUGACACCCCUGGCAGGUGCGGACAAUUCUAGUGGCGUCGGCCACUGCGGUCGGCCAGUAGAAACCUUGUCGGAAGGCGUUUCCAACAAGGGCUCGGGGCGCUGCGUGAUGACCACAAGCCCUCGAGUCUAUUUCUUGUAAGAGCUCCUGGCCUUCGGCGAUGGAUAUGCAUCGCUGGAGGAUGCCUGAGGGGCUGCGGUGGUAGAGCUCCUCCCCGUCCCCCAGCAAGACGAACGACUUGGCGCGCCGCGCCUAUCGCCGAGCUUUGGCUCGGUCGAGGGGUUGCUCUCCUCGGUGGAGAUAUUGUAGGUACGGGGUCUGCCAGUUUCGAUUAGGCGUGACCCCGCUCCGCUCCUCCUCGACGCGCAGUGCCUCACCCUCGGGGGCCGAGGGUGCCUCGGGCUGGGCCAAGGCCUACUCGGGCUCGGGCGCGUCAUCGGUCUUGACGGAGGGUUGAUGCAGGUCUUGGGAGAAGACGUCCGGGGGAACCGUUGUCCGCCCCGAGGCUAUCUUAGCCAGCUCGUCCGCAGUCUCGUUGUAUCGUCGGGCGAUGUGGUUGAGCUCGAGCCCGUAGAACUUGUCCUCCAGGCGCCGAACCUCAUCGCAAUAGGCUUCCAUCUUCGGGUCGCGGCAGUGGGAGUUCUUCAUGACUUGGUCAAUGACGAGCUGCGAGUCACCGCGAGCGUCGAGGCGUCGGACCCCUAGCUCGAUGGCGAUGCGCAACCCGUUGACCAGAGCCUCGUACUCGGCCACAUUGUUGGACGCCGGGAAGUGGAGGCGUAGCACGUAGUGUAGGUGCUUCCCGAGGGGCGAGAUGAAGAGCAGGCCCACGCCUGCCCCUGUCUUCAUCAGCGACCCGUCGAAAAACAUGGUCCAGAGUUCCGCUUGGAUCGGAGCUGUCGGGAGCUGGGUAUCGACCCAUUCAGCCACAAAGUUCGCCAAGACUUGGGACUUGAUGGCCUUCCGAGGGGCGAACGAGAUUGUCUCGCCCAUGAUUUCCACUGCCCACUUUGCAAUCCUACCCGAGGCCUCUCGGCACUGGAUGAUCUCCCCCAGGGGGAAGGAUGACACCACAGUCACCGGAUGAGACUUGAAGUAGUGUCGCAACUUCCGUCGCGUCAGGAUCACCGCGUACAACAGCUUCUGAAUUUGUGGGUAGCGGAUCUUGGUCUCGGACAGUACCUCACUGAUGAAGUAGACUGACCUCUGGACGGGCAAUGCAUGCCCCUCUUCUCGUCUCUCAACCGCGAUCACGGCGCUGACCACCUGAGUGGUAGCGGCGACGUAGAUCAAGAGGGCUUCUCCGGCAGCGGGGGGCACCAAGAUGGGCGCGUUCGUGAGGAGCGCCUUCAGGUUCCCGAGGGCUUCCUCGGCCUCAGGGGUCCAAGUGAAGCACUCGGCCUUUCUUAAGAGGCGGUACAGAGGCAGGCCUCUUUCGCCGAGGCGCGAGAUGAAACGGCUCAGAGCCGCAAGGCAUCCCGUGACCCUCUGUACGCCUUUCAAGUCCUUGAUGGGCCCCAUGUUGGUGAUGGCCGCGAUUUUCUCCGGGUUGGCCUCGAUGCCCCGCUCGGAGACGAUGAACCCCAAGAGCAUGCCUCGGGGGACUCCGAAGAUGCACUUCUCAGGAUUGAGUUUUACGCCUUUCGCCUUGAGACACCGGAAUGUCGCUUCAAGGUCGGAAAGGAGGUCGGAGGCUUUCCUCGUCUUGACUACGAUGUCAUCGACGUAAGCCUCGACUGUUCGACCAAUGUGUUCGCCGAACAUGUGGUUCAUGCACCUUUGGUAUGUCGCACCCGCAUUCCUCAAACCAAAUGGCAUGGUAACAUAGCAGUACAUGCCGAAAGGUGUGAUGAAAGAAGUCGCGAGCUGGUCGGACUCUUUCAUCCUGAUUUGGUGAUACCCUGAGUAGGCAUCGAGGAAAGACAGGGUUUCGCACCCAGCAGUGGAAUCCACGAUUUGAUCGAUGCGAGGAAGAGGGUAGGGAACUUUUGGACAUGCUUUGUUUAGACCAGUGUAGUCUACACACAUCCGCCAUUUCCCUCCUUUCUUUCUCACAAGAACAGGGUUGGCGAGCCAUUCGGGAUGGAAUACCUCUUUGAUGAACCCCGCCACCAUUAGCUUGUGGAUCUCCUCGCCUAUGGCUCUGCGCUUUUCUUCGUCGAAUCUGCGCAAAGGCUGCUUCACGGGUCGGGCUCCAGCUCGGAUAUCCAGCGAGUGCUCGGCGACAUCCCUCGGUAUGCCGGGCAUGUCCGAGGGACUCCACGCGAAAACGUCGGCGUUUGCGCGGAGAAAGUCGACGAGCACUGCUUCCUAUUUGGGAUCAAGCUCGGAGCCGAUCCGGAUAUGCUUGGAGGCAUCGUUGCUGGGGUCGAGAGGGACGGACUUAACCGUCUCCGCUGGCUCGAAGUUGCCGGCAUGGCGCUUCACGUAUGGCGCCUCCUUGGAGAGGCUCUCCAGGUCGGCGAUGAGGGCCUCGGAUUCGGUGAGGGCCUCGGCGUACUCCACGCACUCCACGUUGCAUUCGUACGCAUGUCGGUACGUGGGGCCGAUGGUGAUGACCCCGUUGGGGCCCGACAUCUUGAGCUUGAGGUAGGUGUAGUUGGGGACGACCAUGAACUUGGUGUAGCAUGGCCUCCCCAAACCUGCGUGGUAGGUUCCUCGGAACCCGACCACCUCGAACGUGAGGGUUUCCCUUCGGAAGUUGGAGGGAGUCCCGAAGCAGACGGGUAGAUCGAGUUGUCCAAGGGGCUAGACGCGUUUCUCGGGGAUGAUCCCGUGGAAAGGCGCCACGCCUGCCCGGACCGAGGACAGAUCGAUCUGCAGAAGCCCGAGGGUCUCGGCGUAGAUGAUGGUGAGGCAGCUGCCUCCGUCCAUGAGGACCUUGGUGAGCCUGACGUUGCCGAUGACGGGGUCGACAAUGAGCGGGUAUUUCCCCAGACUCGGCAAGCGGUCGGGGUGGUCGCCCUGGUCGAAGGUGAUGGGCUUGUCGGACUAGUCUAGGUAGACUGGUGUCGGGGACCAUAAUUAGGGGUACCCUCAAGACGCCUAAUUCUCAGCUGGUAACCCCCAUCAGCAUAAAGCUGCGAAGGCCUGAUGGGUACGAUUAAGUCAGGGAUCAGUCCACACGAGUGACUCGAUCACGCUUCACCCGAGCCUAGCCUCGGCCAAAGGCAGCCGACCUCGAGAGACUUCCGUCUCGCCCGAGGCCCCCCAUUUUACGGCGGACACGUCACCGGCUCGCCCGAGGCCUUGGCUUUGCUCAGAAGCAACCUUGACUAAAUCGCCACACCGACUGACUAAGUUGCAGGAGCAUUUAACGCAAAGGUGGCCUGACACCUUUAUCCUGACACGCGCCCCCCCGGCAGAGCCGAAGUGACCGCCGUCACUCCACCGCUCCACUGACCAGUCUGACAGAAGGACAGCGCCGCCUGCGCCAUUCCGACUGCGAUGCCACUCGACAGAGUGAGUCUGACAGGCAGUCAGGCCUUGCCAAAGGCGCCACGGCGAACUCCGCUCCGCCCGACCCCAGGGCUCGGACUCGGGCUAAGACCCGGAAGACGGCGAACUCCGCUCCGCCCGACCCCAGGGCUCGGACUCGGGCUAAGACCCGGAAGACGGCGAACUCCGCUCCGCCCGACCCCAGGGCUCGGACUCGGGCUAACACCCGGAAGACGACGAAACUCCGCCUCGCCCGACCCCAGGGCUCGGACUCUGCCCUGGCCUCGGCCGAACGACUUCCGCCUCGCCCGACCCCAUGGCUCGGGCUCGGCCUCGGCAACAGAAGACAGACUCGGCUUCGGAGGAGCCCCCACGUCACCCUGCCUAGGGCACAGACCCGCCACGUCAACAGGAAGCACCAUCAUCAUCCUACCCCGAAUCGACUCGGGUCACGGAGAACAAGACCGGCGUCCCAUCCGGCCAGCUCCGUCGGAUGGGCAAUGAUGGCGCUCCACAAACUCUAUGAUGACGGCGGCCCCCAGCUCUCUUACGGAAGCAGGACGGCGUCAGCAGGGACUCGACCGCUCCAACAGCUGUCCCUCCGCCAGGCUCCGACGCACCUCCGACAGCCACGACAUCACGCCAGCAAGGUGCCAAGAUCUCUCCGGCUGCCACAUUGGCAUGUACCUAGGGCGCUAGCUCUCUCUCCGCUAGACACGUAGCACUCUGCUACACCCCCCAUUGUACACCUGGAUCCUCUCCUUACGACUAUAAAAGGGAGGACCAGGGCCUUCUUAGAGAAGGUUGGCCGCGCGGGACCGAGGAUGGGACAGGCGCUCUCUUGGGGCCGCUCGCUUCCCUCACCCGCGUGGACGCUUGUAACCCCCCUACUGCAAGCGCACCUGACCUGGGCGCGGGACGAACACGAAGGCCGCGGGACUUCCACCUCUCUCACGCUCGACUCCGGCCACCUCGCCUCUCCCCCCUUCGCGCUCGCCCACGCGCUCGACCCAUCUGGGCUGGGGCACGCAGCACACUCACUCGUCGGCUUAGGGACCCCCUGUCCCGAAACGCCGACAGUUGGCGCGCCAGGUAGGGGCCUGCUGCGUGCUGACGAACAACUCCCCGUCAAGCUCCAGAUGGGCAGUCUCCAGCAACCUCUCCGGCCCGGGACGGUGCUUCGUUUCGGGACUCUUAAGUUCAUGUCCUUCGACGGCAGCUACGACAUGAUACUUCUUCCACCGCCGCGCGACUACGACAAUGGCGGCCGACAACCCGCCCGCCGGCGGCGGAAUCGACGACAUCUUCCCCGCGUGGUGGAAGAACAACAUUCGGGCUCGCUCCGUUCUCUCCCCCGCCAACGGAGGAGGAGGUGGGGCCUUCAAGGCCAGGCGGGAGGCCGCGCUUCGUCGGCCGUCGAGCGAAUCGACGCCCCCGACGCCCCGACGGAAGGCACGCCGGACGUCGACCUCGCGUUCAAGACGGAGGCAAGCGCCAUCCCCCCGCGACACGCUGACCCCGAGCAAGAAGACGACGCCGGCGCGCUCGCGGAAAGCCUGCAGGACGUCGCCCUCGUACCUGAGAUGACGGUGCAACCAGUCCCCGAUGUGACUACGUCGCUCCUCGUCGACCAAAAGGUACCGACUAACUCCCAUCUUGCGUCAUUUCGACUCGGCCUCAACCCGCCAAACGACCUCGUUUUGGCGGGCGCUCUCAUUGAGGCGAGUGCAACCCCACUGGGGUUUCGUAUGCGGUCGCCUUGGGACCGACUGACGAACGUCUCGACCUACGGGCCCUCUGGGUCCGAGGAAGAUGACGAUCCCAGCAUCUGUUGGGAUUUCUCCGGACUUGGUAACCCCAGUGCCAUGCGGGACUUCAUGACCGCAUGUGACUACUGCCUUUCCGACUGUUCCAACGGAAGCCGCAGCCUUGGCGACGAGAGCUGCGACCCAAGCCGCGAAUGUUUCCACAUCGAGCUAGGGGAUCCCUCCGAAGGCAACCAUCUUGGCAUGCCGGAGGACGGUGAUCUCCCUAGGCCGGUGCCUCGCGCCGACAUCCCACGGGAGCUAGCUGUGGUCCCCGCUCCGGCGGGGGGUUACGACCCACAACUCGAGCAAGCCCGCGAGGCGCAGGCCAGGCUCAACGAGGGAACAGGAGCGCUUGAGCCGAUCCGUCGGGACGUCGGACAGGCAUGGGUGGGCCAACCCCUGGCCGGAGAAAUACGUCACCUGCCCCAAGGUCUCCAGCACCGCGUCGCCAACGAUGUCAGGGUCAGGCCGCCGCCCGCAUCCAGCGGGGUUGGUCAGAACCUGGCAGCCGCAGCGAUGCUCAUCCGCGCGAUGCCGGAGCCAUCAACCACCGAGGGUCGGCGAAUCCAGGGAGAGCUCAAGAAUCUCCUGGAAGGCGCUGCGGCCCGACGGGCCGAGAGCACUGCCUCCCGAAGGCAAGGAUAUCCCUCGGAACCUCAUGCCGCGACUUCCCGAUUCAUGCGGGAAGCCUCGGUCUACACCGGGCGCACGCGCAACACCGCGCCUGCGGCCCCGGGCCACUUCGGCAACGAGCACCAUCGACGCGACCGUCGGGCUCACCUCGACGAAAGGGUGCGCCGAGGCUACCACCCCAGGCGUGGGGGGCGCUAUGACAGCGGGGAGGAUCGGAGUCCCUCGCCCGAACCACCCGGUCCGCAGGCCUUCAGUCGGGCCAUCCGACGGGCGCCAUUCCCGACUCGGUUCCGACCCCCGACUACUAUCACGAAGUACUCGGGGGAAACGAGACCGGAACUGUGGCUCGCGGACUACCGCCUUGCCUGCCAACUGGGUGGGACGGACGACGACAACCUCAUCAUCCGUAACCUCCCCCUGUUCCUCUCCGACACUGCUCGCGCCUGGUUGGAGCACCUGCCUCCGGGGCAGAUCUCCAACUGGGACGACUUGGUCCAAGCCUUCGCUGGCAAUUUCCAGGGCACAUACGUGCGCCCCGGGAAUUCCUGGGACCUUCGAAGCUGCCGGCAACAGCCGGGGAGUCGCUCCGGGACUACAUCCGGCGAUUCUCGAAGCAGCGCACCGAGCUGCCCAACAUCACCGACUCGGAUGUCAUCGGCGCGUUCCUCGCCGGCACCGCUUGCCGCGACCUGGUGAGCAAGCUGGGUCGCAAGACCCCCACCAGGGCGAGCGAGCUGAUGGACAUCGCCACCAAGUUCGCCUCUGGCCAGGAGGCGGUCGAAGCUAUCUUUCGAAAGGACAAGCAGCCCCAGGGCCGCCCGUCGGAAGAGGCUCCCGAGGCGUCUGCUCCGCGCGGCGCCAAGAAGAAAGGCAAGAAGAAGUCGCAAUCGAAACGCGACGCCGCUGACGCGGACCUUGUCGCCGCCGCCGAGUACAAGAACCCUCGGAAGCCCCCCGGAGGUGCAAACCUCUUCGACAAGAUGCUCAAGGAGCUGUGCCCCUACCAUCAGGGGCCCGUCAAGCACACCCUCGAGGAGUGCGUUAUGCUUCGGCGUCACUUCCACAGGGCCGGGCCACCCGCCGAGGGUGGCAGGGCCCGCGACGACGACAAGAACGAAGAUCACCAAGCAGGAGAGUUCCCCGAGGUCCGCGACUGCUUCAUGAUCUAUGGAGGGCAAGCGGCGAAUGCCUCGGCUCGGCACCGCAAGCAAGAGCGCCGGGAGGUCUGCUCGGUGAAGGUGGCGGCGCCAGUCUACCUAGACUGGUCCGACAAGCCCAUCACCUUCGACCAGGCCGACCACCCCGACCAUGUGCCGAGCCCGGGGAAAUACCCGCUCGUCGUCGACCCCGUUGUCGGCAAUGUCAGGCUCACCAAGGUCCUGAUGGAUGGGGGCAGCUGCCUCAACAUCAUCUACGCCGAGACCCUCAAGCUCCUGCGCGUCGAUCUGUCCUCCGUCCGAGCAGGCGCUGCGCCCUUCCACGGGAUCAUCCCUGGGAAGCGCGUCCAGCCCCUCGGGCGACUCGACCUCCCCGUCUGCUUCGGGACGCCCUCCAACUUCCGAAGGGAGACCCUGACGUUCGAGGUGGUCGGGUUCCGAGGAACCUACCACGCCGUACUAGGGAGGCCAUGCUACGCGAAGUUCAUGGCCGUCCCCAACUACACCUACCUGAAGCUCAAGAUGCCGGGCCCCAACGGGGUCAUCACCGUCGGCCCCACGUACAAACACGCGUUCGAAUGCGACGUGGAGUGCGUGGAGUACGCCGAGGCCCUCGCCGAGUCCGAGGCCCUCAUCGCCGACCUGGAGAACCUCUCCAAGGAGGUGCCGGACGUGAAGCGCCAUGCCGGCAACUUCGAGCCAGCGGAGACGGUUAAGGCCGUCCCUCUCGACCCCAGUGGCGACACCACCAAGCAGGUCCAGAUCGGUUCCGGGCUCGACCCCAAAUAGGAAGCAGUGCUCGUCGACUUUCUCCGCGCAAACGCUGACGUCUUUGCGUGGAGUCCCUCGGACAUGCCCGUCAUACCGAGGGAUGUCGCCGAGCACUCGCUGGAUAUUCGGGCCGGAGCCCGACCCGUCAGGCAGCCUCUGCGCCGAUUCGACGAGGAGAAGCACAGAGUGAUUGGCGAAGAGAUCCACAAGCUAAUGGCAGCGGGGUUCAUCAAAGAGGUAUUCCAUCCCGAAUGGCUUGCCAACCCUGUGCUUGUGAGGAAGAAAGGGGGGAAAUGGCGGAUGUGUGUAGACUACACUGGUCUCAACAAAGCAUGUCCGAAGGUUCCCUACCCUCUGCCUCGCAUCGACCAAAUCGUGGAUUCCACCGCUGGGUGCGAAACCCUGUCCUUCCUCGAUGCCUACUCUGGGUAUCACCAGAUCCGGAUGAAAGAGUCCGACCAGCUCGCGACUUCUUUCAUCACGUCGUUCGGCAUGUACUGCUACGUCACCAUGCCGUUCGGUUUGAGGAAUGCGGGCGCGACGUACCAGCGGUGCAUGAACCAUGUGUUCGGCGAACACAUCGGUCGCACAGUCGAGGCCUACGUCGAUGACAUCGUAGUCAAGACAAGGAAAGCUUCCGACCUCCUUUCCGACCUUGAAGUGACAUUCCGAUGUCUCAAGGCGAAAGGAGUCAAGCUCAAUCCUGAGAAGUGUGUCUUCGGGGUGCCCCGAGGCAUGCUCCUAGGGUUCAUCGUCUCCGAGCGAGGCAUCGAAGCCAACCCGGAGAAGAUCGCGGCCAUCACCAGCAUGGGACCCAUCAAGGACUUAAAAGGUGUACAGAGGGUCAUGGGAUGCCUCGCGGCCCUGAGCCGCUUCAUCUCACGCCUCGGCGAAAGAGGUCUGCCUCUGUACCGCCUCUUAAGGAAGGCCGAGUGUUUCGCUUGGACCCCUGAGGCCGAGGAAGCCCUCGGCAACCUGAAGGCGCUCCUUACAAAGGCGCCUGUCUUGGUGCCCCCGGCGGAUGGAGAAGCCCUCUUGGUCUACGUCGCCGCGACCACUCAGGUGGUUAGCGCCGCGAUUGUGGUCGAGAGGCAAGAGGAAGGGCAUGCAUUGCCCGUUCAGAGGCCGGUCUACUUCAUCAGCGAAGUGCUGUCCGAGACUAAGAUCCGCUACCCACAAGUUCAAAAGCUGCUGUAUGCUGUGAUCCUGACAAGGCGGAAGCUGCGACACUACUUCGAGUCUCAUCCGGUAACUGUGGUGUCAUCCUUCCCCCUGGGGGAGAUCAUCCAGUGCCGAGAGGCCUCGGGCAGGAUCGCAAAGUGGGCGGUGGAAAUCAUGGGCGAAACGAUCUCGUUCGCCCCUCGGAAGGCCAUCAAGUCCCAGGUGUUGGCGGAUUUCGUGGCCGAAUGGGUCGACACCCAGCUGCCAACGGCUCCGAUCCAACCGGAGCUCUGGACCAUGUUUUUCGACGGGUCGCUGAUGAAGACGGGAGCCGGCGCGGGCCUGCUCUUCAUCUCACCCCUCGGGAAGCACCUGCGCUACGUGCUGCGCCUCCACUUCCCGGCGUCCAACAAUGUGGCCGAGUACGAAGCUCUGGUCAACGGAUUGCGGAUCGCCAUCGAGCUAGGGGUCAGACGCCUCGACGCCCGUGGUGAUUCGCAGCUCGUCAUCGACCAAGUCAUGAAGAACUCCCACUGCCGCGACCCGAAGAUGGAGGCCUACUGUGACGAGGUUCGGCGCCUGGAAGACAAGUUCUUCGGGCUCGAGCUCAACCACAUCGCUCGGCGCUACAACGAAACCGCAGACGAGCUGGCUAAAAUAGUCUCGGGGCGAACGACGGUCCCCCCGGACGUUUUCUCCCGGGAUCUGCAUCAACCCUCCGUCAAGAUCGGCGACGCGCCCGAGCCCGAGGUACCCUCGGCUCAGCCCGAGGCACCCUCGGCACAGCCCGAGGUACCCUCGGCUCAGCCCGAGGCACCCUCGGCACAGCCCGAGGUACCCUCGGCCCCCGAGGGCGAGGCACUGGACGUCGAGGAAGAGCAGAGCGGGGCCACGCCAGAUCGAGAUUGGCAGGCCCCGUACCUGCAAUAUCUCCGUCGAGGAGAGCUACCCCUCGACCAAGUCGAGGCUCGGCGGGUAGCGCGACGCGCCAAGUCAUUCGUCUUGCUGGGCGAAGAAGAGGAGCUCUACCAUCGCAGCCCCUCGGGCAUCCUCCAGCGAUGCAUCUCCAUCGCCGAAGGUCGGGAACUGCUGCAAGAAAUACACUCGGGGGCUUGCGGCUACCACGCAGCGCCCCGAGCCCUUGUCGGGAAUGCUUUCCGACAAGGCUUCUACUGGCCAACGGCGGUGGCUGACGCCACUAGAAUUGUCCGCACCUGCGAAGGGUGCCAAUUCUAUGCGAAGCGGACCCACCUGCCCGCUCAGGCUCUGCAGACAAUACCCAUCACCUGGCCCUUCGCUGUAUGGGGUCUGGACCUCGUCGGUCCCUUGCAGAAGGCGCCCGGGGGCUACACGCACCUGCUGGUCGCCAUCGACAAAUUCUCCAAGUGGAUCGAGGUCCGACCUCUGAACAGCAUCAGGUCCGAGCAGGCGGUGGCGUUCUUCACCAACAUCAUCCAUCGCUUCGGGGUCCCGAACUCCAUCAUCACCGACAACGGCACCCAGUUCACCGCCAAAAAAUUCUUGGAUUUUUGCGAGGAUCACCAUAUCCGGGUGGACUGGGCCGCCGUGGCUCAUCCCAUGACGAAUGGGCAAGUAGAGCGUGCCAACGGCAUGAUUCUACAAGGGCUCAAGCCUCGGAUCUACAACAACCUCAACAAGUUCGGCAAGCGGUGGAUGAAGGAACUCCCCUCGGUGGUCUGGAGCCUAAGGACGACGCCGAGUCGUGCCACAGGUUUCACGUCGUUUUUCCUGGUCUACGGGGCUGAAGCCAUCUUGCCCACUGACCUGGAAUACGGCUCCCCGAGGACGAGGGCCUACACCGAUCAAAGCAACCAAGCUAGCCGAGAGGAAUCGUUGGACCAGCUGGAGGAGGCUCGGGACAGGGCCUUACUACACUCGGCGCGGUACCAGCAGUCCCUGCGACGCUACCACGCCCGAGGGGUCCGGUCCCGAGACCUCCAGGUGGGCGACCUGGUGCUUCGGCUGCGGCAAGACGCCCGAGGGAGGCACAAGCUCACGCCCCCCUGGGAAGGGCCAUUCGUCAUCGCCAAAGUUCUGAAGCCAGGAACAUACAAGCUGGCCAACAAUCAAGGCGAGAUCUACGGCAACGCUUGGAACAUCAAACAGCUACGUCGCUUCUACCCUUGAGAUGUUUUCAAGUUGUUCAUAUACCUCGCACCUACGCAAAGUUUAGUCGUCAAGGAAGGGUCGGCCUAGCCUCGGCAAAGCCCGACCCUCCCUCGGGGGCUAAAAGGGGGGAGACCCCCUCUGCGUCGAACUUUUCCUCGAAAAAGGAUCUCUUUUUAGCAGGAUUUCUUUCGUGCUUCUUGACUACUUCGAAAAGCGGAUCCUGGAAACGACGGAGUACACGUAAGCAGCCAAGGCUGACCGAGCCGAGGGACUCCUACGCCUCCGGGAUACGGACACCUCACUCAUCACCUUCUGCGAUAAGUAACUCGCGCUCGGAUAAAGCGACUCCGUGGACCGAACAAGUCUUCACGUUCGGAAGCUCUCCUGCCGAAGCAGUCCUUCAAGCUUUCUCGACUAAGUCGGGGACAGGGCCUCAUGGACGGGUGAAAGUACGCGUAAACGGCAAGGCCGACCGAGCCGAGGGAUUCCCACGCCUCUAGGAUACGGAUACCUCACUCGUCCCUUCCGCGAGAAGCAACUCUCGCUCGCACAAACAUCCCUGUUACCGACAGGGUCCAGAUGCUCGAAACAAGAGGAAAAAAGACGCAGCUUCGCAAGCGCGGCGAGGGUGUGUUUUUUCCGGCCUCGGUGGCCGCAGAAGGCACACGCUACAAGACGAUCUGAUCCUGCAGGCUCGGGUCUUCACGCCGAAGGGAGCUACAGCACCCUCGGCAUCGACGACGUCUUCAGCAAAGUCCGACCCAGCCUCGGACGGCGACGCGGUCCAGGGACUCCUCCGGGAAUCCGGCCCGAGCAGGCGGCUCGACCGGUUACCCAUGGGGCCUCGGCCAACCGGCUUCCAAGGGCGCCAGCCCGACCCGAGGCCUCGGCUGAUCAACUUUGGCAUCGGCUCCGCUGACGGACAACACGGCUAGGCUCCGGCCAACCAGGUUCCCAUUCUCGAGCCAACUCCGCCUCUGUUCAUACUGAUACCGCUACCCCUGGCCUCGGCCCAUCGAAGGGCGGCCGAGGGGUCUCUUUAACUAAGCUAGAGGAGCCCCAGACAACAAGGCCGAUCGGGCCGAGGGAUUCCUACGCCUCCGGGAUACGGAUACCUCACUCGUCACCUUGACACGGGGCGACUCAUGCUUGGUAAAGCGGUUCAGAUAAUCAACAGGCGAGACUUAGUGCUCAAAAAUGAGGAAAAAACACGGCUCCGUGCCGAAAUUACAUACAUAUUCAGGCCCCGACAGCCACAAUGAACAAAAAACACUAGCAUUCAAGGUGCCAUCACAAACGGAACUCCGGUUCCGUCCCCGAGGGUACAAGCGACCUCGGGCCUGCGGGGUGACGAACGCCGGGAGGCUCGCCAGCGGCCUCUGCAGCGGCAGCCAUGGCCCCAGGUGAACGCGGCCACCGGAAGGCUCUUGUUCGCGGUCCCGCUCAAGGGAUGCGAACAAGCCAUCAAAGCCAAAGAGCGGGCCGCUCCCAAGCGCUCCGGUAGAUCCUCGCUGCCGUCCUCGCCUCAAACGCGAGGGGGAAGACGAAAUGUUGCAUCCUAGCUGGACGGCAACAGUUCGCCUUCCCCGGCAUGACUGGAGGACGACUCCGUCGUAGCGCGGGAGGACGAUUGCCACCACCAGAAGCUGGAAGAGGAGGUGGUUCGCCGACCCGCACACGAGGUAGAGCCCCGGCUCGCCUCGACCCCCGCCCCAGCAAGGAUGACGAACACACCCGAUGCUGAGGGCGGGAUCACAGCCUGGUUUGCCUCUCCCCAUCCAGGAGCUGGAGGUCACCGUCUUGGGUGGCCACCGGCGGAAGGGAGCAACCAGGCUGCCUGAUGAAAAUCCUUGAAGCCGAACGAUGGCUGAGAGGUACCAACCCCCAUGGGGUUGCGUUCCUCCCACGAGGAGGCGGAAAGGCGGCGGAUACCCCCCAUCCGGGGGCUUGGAAGAUGGAAAGACACGACGCAUAAGGGAGGAAGAAGACAUGGUUGCCUUCUGAAAGGAGUCCCCCUCCUAUUAAAGGCAACUCUCCCUACGUGCGCCCCCAGACGCCGCGGGCUGAGUCUUCUCCAACACGCUCCAAGGCCCUCCCCUGCGACUCGGGGGCUGGGUCCCGCAUGUCAUGCAAACCGGCUCAGAGCAGAAGAAGCCAAACCGUCGCGCGUGGUGCGCACGACCGUCCAGCGGUUACAAGCGACCCCCCACUUUGGCCCAGACCAACGGGCGGAAGGGGAGGGCAGCCAUGCAGGCGGCAUGCAACCGCGCCAGGUGGACGCGCUUCUCCGACUUCUGACACGCCAGCUUGGAAGCCCAGGCCCACGCGUCAAGCAACCGGCGCGCCAGUUGCUGCAUGCAAGCAACCGCACCGCCACUUGUGCCACCGUGACGCCUCUUCAGUUGCGGAGCCUAUGCCGCGACUUGAGGCAACCCAGCAGCGCCAGCCUGGCGCGUCGGUCAAAGCGACCGAAAGUGGGCCGGCAGUAAUGGCGGUGGCAGGCGGGCGGGCGCAGCAGUCACGUCAUCAGCCAGGCUCACGUCCCAUCCUGGGAUAGCAAGAGAGCCUCCUCUCACGGCGUGAAGACGGUGCACCCGUGACCCGUUCCUCGAACGGAUCGCGCACGCGCAACGGCCGCCCCGCCAACCACUCGCCCCGUCGCAUUAACUCCGCGGCAGGACACGCGGCGCCUCUGGCGGGAGAAGCGCGCGACGCUUCGCCUUCGCCGUAAUAACCGCGCCAAAAAGAGGUACGCCACGUCGUUCGAUUUCGUAUCCUUUUCCUUUUUCCUCUUUCUCUAUCUCUUGCAACAGGGACCGAGAAAGGGGGAUACCCCGAAAAGGAUCCUUCUCUGCGAAGGAACCGGGCUCCGAGCCCCCCCUACUGAUCAGGGGUUCGAAGACUGGCCCCCCGAAGGGUUCCAUGGCCGCCUCAGGCUACUCGGGCUCCGCGCCCAUUACUGAUCAGGGGUUCGAAGGCUGGCCCCCGAAGGGUUCACAGUCGCCUCAGACACCGAGCGAGGGAUGACCAGGGGUACGUUCGAUACAUAACCGAGGCUCGGGCUGCGCUCCCGAGGUACCCUAGGACAUUUCCGAGACCAGUGGGAACGAUCUUGUAACGGAAUCCCAUCGGAGGGAGGCAUCGAGCCCUCGGACCCCGUCGCCAGGGGACCGGGUCCGGCAAAUCACCCGCAGGUACUUUUGGGCGUGCCUCUGGGCCCCUAGCCGACCCCCAACGAACGGGGCACGGACGUCCACUCGGAUUACCCGCUUGCAGCUCACCGGAGACACCAUGUUCGGUGCCCAUCGAGGGUAACAUGGCACACUCCCCCCCUCCUCCUUGCGGAAAGGCGACGUAGGGGCGUAUGUAAAAAGUCGAGUCUGUCCCUGAUCGUCCUCUCGCCCUGAGCAGAGGCUCGGGGGCUGCUCUCGCAAAAACCGGCUCCGGCCAAACCGUUGACAGCGUCAACAUACCAGCCCGAGAGCUUGGGCCCCGACCGUGCACCCGGGCUACGGCCAGUUCGCAUGAGGGAACGACCAGACUAGCCGAAGCGUUACGCGAGGUAUUAAGACCUCGAAGGAGUGUAACCACUCCUCCGAGGCCUCGGGGGCUACACCCGGCGGGUGCGCUCGCGCGCACCCACCGGAAAAAAAUGCUACCGAGAAAGGCUGGUCCCCUUGCAAAAAAGUGCGACGAAAGCCUCCAAGCGAGUGCUAACACUCCCUUCGAGGCUCGGGGGCUACUGUCGGGGACCAUAAUUAGGGGUACCCUCAAGACGCCUAAUUCUCAGCUGGUAACCCCCAUCAGCAUAAAGCUGCAAAGGCCUGAUGGGUACGAUUAAGUCAGGGAUCAGUCCACACGAGUGACUCGAUCACGCUUCACCCGAGCCUAGCCUCGGCCAAAGGCAGCCGACCUCGAGAGACUUCCGUCUCGCCCGAGGCCCCCCAUUUUACGGCGGACACGUCACCGGCUCGCCCGAGGCCUUGGCUUCGCUCAGAAGCAACCUUGACUAAAUCGCCACACCGACUGACUAAGUUGCAGGAGCAUUUAACGCAAAGGUGGCCUGACACCUUUAUCCUGACACGCGCCCCCCCGGCAGAGCCGAAGUGACCGCCGUCACUCCACCGCUCCACUGACCAGUCUGACAGAAGGACAGCGCCGCCUGCGCCAUUCUGACUGCGAUGCCACUCGACAGAGUGAGUCUGACAGGCAGUCAGGCCUUGCCAAAGGCGCCACGGCGAACUCCGCUCCGCCCGACCCCAGGGCUCGGACUCGGGCUAAGACCCGGAAGACGGCGAACUCCGCUCCGCCCGACCCCAGGGCUCGGACUCGGGCUAAGACCCGGAAGACGGCGAACUCCGCUCCGCCCGACCCCAGGGCUCGGACUCGGGCUAAGACCCGGAAGACGGCGAACUCCGCUCCGCCCGACCCCAGGGCUCGGACUCGGGCUAAGACCCGGAAGACGGUGAACUCCGCUCCGCCCGACCCCAGGGCUCGGACUCGGGCUAACACCCGGAAGACGAUGAAACUCCGCCUCGCCCGACCCCAGGGCUCGGACUCUGCCCUGGCCUCGGCCGAACGACUUCCGCCUCGCUCGACCCCAUGGCUCGGGCUCGGCCUCGGCAACAGAAGACAUACUCGGCUUCGGAGGAGCCCCCACGUCACCCUGCCUAGGGCACAGACCCGCCACGUCAACAGGAAGCGCCAUCAUCAUCCUACCCCGAAUCGACUCGGGUCACGGAGAACAAGACCGGCGUCCCAUCCGGCCAGCUCCGCCGGAUGGGCAAUGAUGGCGCUCCACAAACUCUAUGACGACGGCGGCCCCCAGCUCUCUUACGGAAGCAGGACGGCGUCAGCAGGGACUCGACCGCUCCAACAGUUGUCCCUCCGCCGGGCUCCGACGCACCUCCGACAGCCACGACAUCACGCCAGCAAGGUGCCAAGAUCUCUCAGGCUGCCACAUUGGCAUGUACCUAGGGCGCUAGCUCUCUCUCCGCUAGACACGUAGCACUCUGCUACACCCCCCAUUGUACACCUGGAUCCUCUCCUUACGACUAUAAAAGGGAGGACCAGGGCCUUCUUAGAGAAGGUUGGCCGCGCGGGACCGAGGACGGGACAAGCGCUCUCUUGGGGCCGCUCGCUUCCCUCACCCGCGUGGACGCUUGUAACCCCCCUACUGCAAGCGCACCUGACCUGGGCGCGGGACGAACACGAAGGCCGCGGGACUUCCACCUCUCUCACGCUCGACUCCGGCCACCUCGCCUCUCCCCCCUUCGCGCUCGCCCACGCGCUCGACCCAUCUGGGCUGGGGCACGCAGCACACUCACUCGUCGGCUUAGGGACCCCCUGUCCCGAAACGCCGACAACUGGCGCCGCCACCUUUACCGAGCAGACCUCCCGACGCUCUUUCUUGCGGUGCCGAGCCGAGGCAUUCGCCACUUGCCCACCGUAGAUCAUGAAGCAGUCGUGGACCUCAGGGAACUCUUCUGCCUUGCGAUCCUCCUUCUUAUCGUCGUCGUGGGCCCUGCCACCUUCCGCAGGUGGCCCGGCCUUGUGAAAGUGGCGCCGAAGCAUGGCGCACUCCUCAAGGGCGUGCUUGACGGGCCCCUGAUGAUAGGGGCACGGCUCCUUGAGCAUUUUGUCGAAGAGGUUGGCGCCUCCGGGAGGUUUCCGAGGGUUCUUAUACUCAGCAGCGGCGACAAGGUCCGCGUCGGCGGCGUCGCGUUUCGCUUGUGACUUCUUCUUGCCCUUCUUCUUAGUGCCGCGCUGAGUAGACGCCUCGGGGACAUCUUCCGGCGGGCGGCCCUGGGGCUGCUUGUCCUUCCGGAAGAUGGCCUCAACCGCCUCCUGGCCAGAGGCGAACUUGGUGGCGAUGUCCAUCAGCUCGCUCGCCCUGGUGGGGGUCUUGCGACCUAGCUUGCUCACCAGGUCGCGGCAGGUGGUGCCGGCGAGGAACGCGCCGAUGACAUCCGAGUCGGUGACAUUGGGCAGCUCGGUGCGCUGCUUUGAGAAUCGCCGGAUGUAGUCCCGGAGAGACUCUCCCGGCUGCUGGCGGCAGCUUCGGAGAUCCCAGGAGUUCCCAGGGCGCACGUACGUGCCCUGGAAGUUGCCGGUGAAGGCUUGGACCAGGUCGUCCUAGUUGGAGAUCUGCCCCAGAGGCAAAUGCUCCAGCCAGGCUCGAGCGGUGUCGGAGAUGAACAAGGGGAGGUUGCGGAUGAUGAGGUUGUCAUCGUCCGUUCCACCCAAGUGGCAGGCCAGCCAGUAGUUCGCGAGCCACAGUUCCGGCCUCGUCUCCCCUGAGUACUUUGUGAUAGUAUUCGGGGUUCGGAACCGGGUCGGGAACGGCGCCCAUCGUAUGGCUCGGCUGAAAGCCUGCGAACCGGGUGGUUCGGGCGAGGGACUCCGAUCCUUCCCGCUGUCGUAGUGUCCCCCACGCCUGGGGUGGUAGCCUCGGCGCACCUUCUCAUCGAGGUGGGCUCGACGGUUGCGGUGAUGGUGCUCGUUGCCGAGGUGACCCAGGGCCGCAGGCGCUGUGUUGCGCGUGCGCCCGGUGUGGACCGAGGCUUCCCGCAUGAAUCAGGAAGUCGCGGCGCGAUGCUCCGAGGGGUACCCCUGCCUUCGGGAGGCAGAUCUUUCGGCCCAUCGGACCGCGGCAUCCUCCAGGAGAUUCUUGAGCUCUCCCUGGAUAAGCCGCCCCUCGGUGGUUGAUGGUUCCGGCAUCGCGCGGAGAAGUAUUGCCGCUGCAGCCAGGUUCUGGCCGACCCCACUGGAAGCCAGUGGCGGCCUUGUCCUGACAUCGUCGGCGAUGCGGUGCUAGAUGCCCUGGGGUAGAUGACGCGCUUCUCCAGCCGGAGGUUGGCCUGCCCAUUCCUGCCCGAUGUCCCGGCGGAAUGGCUCAAGUGUUCCUGCUCCCUCGUCGAGCCUGGCCUGCAUCUCGCGGAUUUGCUCGAGUUGUGAGUCCUGACCCCCCGCAGGGACUGGGACCACAGCUAGCUCCCGAAGGAUGUCAACGCGAGGCGCAGGCCUAGGGGGAUCACCGUUUUCCGGUAUACCAAGAUGGUUGCCUUCGCCGGGACCCCCUAGAUCGACGUGGAAACAUUCACGACUUGGGUCGCAGUCCUCUUCACCGAAGCUGCGGCUACCGUCGGAACAAUCGGAAAGGCAGUAGUCGCAUGCGGUCAUGAAGUCCCGCACAGCAUUGGGGUUACCAAGUCCGGAGAAAUCCCAACAAAAGUCGGGCUCGUCAUCUUCCUCGGAACCCGAGGGCCCAUAGGUCGAGACGGCUGUCGUCCGGUCCCAGGGUGACCGCAUACCGUACCCCGGAGGUUUGGACUUGCCUCUAUGAAAGCGUCCACCGAAGCGAAGUCGCUUGGUGGGUCGAGGAUGAAUCCAAAAGGCACGAGAUGGGAAUCGGUCGGUACCUCUUGGUCGACGGGCGGUGACGAAGUCACGUCAGGGGAAGACUGCACCGUCGUCUUAGGUACGAGGGUGACGCCCAGCAAGACCUUUGCGAGCGUGCUGGCGUCGUCCGUCCGCUUGGAGUUGGCGUGUUGCGGGGAAACGACGCUCGUCUUCGUCUCAGACGCGAGGUCGAUGCCCGACGUGUCCCCCGUUGGGGCGCCGACGCCGUCGACUCGCUCGAUAGCCGACGAGGUGUCGCCUCCUGCUUGGCCUUGGUUGCCCCGCCUCCUCCUCCGUCGGUGGGGGAGGCGACGGGACAAACCCGAAUGUUGUUCUUCCGCCACGUGGGGAAGACGUCGUCGAUUCCGCCGCCGGCGGGCGGGUUGUCGGCCACCAUUGUCGCUGUCGCGCGGCGGGGGAAGGAGUAUCAUAUCGUAGCUGCCGUCGAGGGACAUGAACUCAAGACUCCCGAAACGGAGCACCGUCCCGGGCUGGAAAGGUUGCUGGAGACUACCCAUCUGGAGCUUGACGGGAAGCUGCUCGUCAACACGCAGCAGGCCCCUACCUGGCGCGCUAACUGUUGGCGUUUCGACCCCGGGGGGUCCCUGGACCGACGAGUAAAUUGUCGCUGCGUGCCCCAGCCCAGAUGGGUCGGUGCGAGACAGAGUAAAAAGGGGGGGGGGGAACCGGAGGGAGACAGGCGUAAUAGGGGAAACUCGCGGCCUUCGUGUUUGUCCCAUGCCUAGGUCGAGUGCGCUUGCAGUAGGGGGUUACAAGCGUCCACGUGGGAGGGAGCGAGAGGCCUGCACGCGCCGUCCCGUCCUCCCCGCGCGACCAACCUUCCGUAAGAGGGCCCUGGACCUUCCUUUUAUAGGCGUAAGGAGAGGGUUCAGGUGUACAAUGGGAGAUGUAGCAUUGUGCUAACGUGUCUAGCAGAGAGGAGCUAGUGCCCUAAGUACAUGCCGUUGUGGCAGCCGGAGAGGUUUUGGCACCCUGUUCAUGAGAUGUCGUGGCCGUUGGAGGAGCGCUGGAGCCUGGCGGAAGGACAACUGUCGGGGCUGUCGAGUCCUUGCUGACGUCUCCUUGCUUCCGUAAGGGGGCUGAGAGCCGCCGUCGUCAUGGAGCACGCGGGGCGCCAUCAUUAUUUGUUUUACCGGGGCGAGCCAGAUGGGACGUCGGUCUUGUUCCCCGUAGCCAGAGCUAGCUAGGGGUAGGGUAAUGAUGGCCCCUCCUGUGACGUGGUCGGUCCGAGCCCUGGGUCGGGCGAGGCGCCUCCGAGGUCGAGGUCGAGUCUGUCUUCCGAGGUCGAGGUCGAGUCCGAGCCCCUGGGUCGGGCGAGGCGGAGACCGUCGGCUGAGGCCAGGGCCGAGUCCGAGCCCUGGGGUCAAGCGAGGCAGAGUUCGUCGUCUUCUGGGGCCGAGGCCGAGUCCGAGCCCUGGGGUCGGGCGAGGCGGAGUUCGUCGUCUUCCGGGGUGGAGGCCGAGCCCUGGGGUCGGGCGAGGCGGAGUUCGUCGUCUUUCGGGGCCGAGGCCGAGCCCUAGGGUCGGGCGAGGCAGAGUUUGUCGUCUUCCGGGGCCGAGGCCGAGUCCGAGCCCUGGGGUCGAGCGAGGCGGAGCUUCCUAUGGCGCCCGAGGCCGAACUUGGCUGCUAUCAGCCUCACUCUGUCGAGUGACACAACAGUCGGAGCGGCGCAGGCGGCGCUGUCCUCUUGUCAGGCCGGUCAGUGGAGCGGCGAAGUGACUGCGGUCACUUCGGCUCUGUCGACUGAAGGGCGCGCGUCAGGAUGAGGUGUCAGGCCAUCCUUGCAUUAAAUGCUCCUACGAUACGGUUGGUUGGCGUGGCGAUUUGGCCAAGGUUGCUUCUUGGCGAAGGCUGGGCCUCGGGCGAGCCGAAGGUGUGUCCGUUGCUUGAGGGGGCCCUCGGGCGAGACGUAAAUCCUCCGGGGUCGGUUGCCCUUGCCCGAGGCUGGGCUCGGGCGAGGCGAGAUCGUGUCCCUUGAGUGGACCGAGCCUUGACUUAAUCGCACCCAUCAGGCCUUUGCAGCUUUGUGCUGAUGGGGGUUACCAGCUGAGAUUAGGAGUCUUGGGGGUACCCCUAAUUAUGGUCCCCGACACCCCUAAAAUAUCACAAUAUCCUCAUCGGGAUAACAUCAUCGUAUCAUAAAUAUUCACAUCAUGUUCAUUGAUUAAAUUAGAGCAAUAGCAUGAAGCUAACCAUAAUAACCCAAAAGGUAAUCAAGGACAAGGUAAAUAGAGACUAGUCGGUCCUUAGGUUUCAAUAAUGUAAUGCGGGACAAUGAAAUAUAAGUGAGUAGGACAUAAUAGGUCAGAGGACACUUGCCUUCACCAAACAGAUGCUCAGGGUCUUCAACUCUGUAGAACUCGAAGAGCUAUAUCACUUGGUCGCCAACGCUUGAUCCUCGAUUCCUCGAAGCUCGGAAACAGAUCGCAAUCUAUUCGCAACGCAAAGCGAAGACAAACAGACACAAGCAAACAAACAUAUAUAUGCAUAAGAACAUUACACGAAUCAAAGAGAAACAUAAUAAAACAUGCAAUACGAAAUAAAGCGUGCUACUAUGGUCACACGAGGAAAAGAAAUGUUGAACUCGGAGCUACAUUCAAGAAGUUAACGGGUUUAUGCUAAACAAAUAUUAACUAUAACAUUUAAUUCAGUGUUAUAAAUAUAAAUUAUAACUAUUAUUUAAUUAAAGUGAGGGAUUCUAAGCGAUGACACGCGAAACAGCACGGCCGCACGCGACCUAGCGUGCACACCACGCGCGGCACGCGCAGACAACGUGACGACGGCGAACCAAACACGACAGCAUGCAAACGACGCGCGGACACGCGCGACAUAGCACGCUGACGACACCUGAAACAGCGCGCGCGACCAACGCGAACGAGCACACCACCACGUGCGAAACAACACGACAGACGAGGAAAACUAAAUAGGUGACACGUUUAUACUUAACAAAUAUUAAAUAAAUAGAAAGUAGUUAAGUUAAUAUUUUCCAUGUUAAUAUUUAUUAUAAAAGCCCAAGAAGAACACUACACAUUUAAUCUAGUUAGAAUAUUAAUCUAAUAAAUAUUAGUCGAGCGGACAUUAAGUUAAUUUUCUAAAAUAUAUGACCUGACGAACUAACGUCACUAACAUGAGUGUUUAUAAGUGGCAAACUAUUGAUUAUCACGCGCAGACGCCGUGCGACACACGUGAUCAACAUGCGAGAUACACGCUAACGACGCGCGGCAAGGCAAGCGACACAUGUAAAUGGCACACACGACGCACAGACACGGCGUGUGACGACACGCGAGUCACGCGACACUGUACGAGACAGCGCGCGGACGGCACGCGAAACAACGCGCACGACAGCGCGCGAGUCAGCGCGACUACUCGCACGACAGCGCUGAACGAUGCGCGAACGACACGCGGCGACUUGACACCGAACGACACAACGUAAGAGAAUUAUUAAGUUACGUCGUGCCUAUACUAAACAAAUAUUAAUUAAAACAUUUGAGUAGAUAUAAUCCUGUUAAUAGAUAUAAAUAAAGUGUGGCUAAAAUUAUAAAUUAGUUUAAGUAAACUAUUGCUUUAAUGACUCGGAUAAAUAAGUAAAUAAUCAACUAGUUAAUUAAAACACGCCUCGUGACGAAAUAAUGUAACUAACAUGUUGGUGACGAGGUUACGAAGUUAAAGCGACCGAAACGAAAUAGAAACGGGUUUAUGACACAUUAUAAAUGAAAUAGCUAACAAUUCAUUGCUAAUGAACAAUUUUAUUAAGGCGUGCGAAUCGCGACUCGUGUGAACGACGACAUGUGAACAACAUGCACGAACGUCGUGUGGACACACGUGAUACGCGAGGGAAGGGUGGUGAUAACGUACGCGAACAAUACAGGUGGGUAGUGUGCGGACAACACGCGACAUGCGCGAGUGACGCGUGAUGCGCGAAGCAGCACACGAGCGACGCGCGAUCCAGCACACCAUCGCGCACGGAACAGCAUGCGCGACAUGCGAGAAGUAUUUAAGCAAAGGACGCGCAUACACUAAGCGAGUAUUAAUUUAAAUCAUUUGAGUUGGCAUUAACCAAAUUAACGCGUACUAAUAAAAACACCUCUUAAAAUUAUAAAUUAGUUUUAACUAAGUUGCUCUUUUAAAAACCAACAGAUAAGUAAAUAAUUAACUAUGUGUUACGAUAAAACAACAUUUUUAAUGUGUACAAGACAUCACUAUGAAACUAACGCAGCUGAAACUGUACAAAACGAUUUUAUAACACAAGAGUUAAUGCGUAAUUAAUAAACAACGGAUUAAAGUGAUGUGGCUUAUUCUGAUUGGCCGAGGGGCUGGUCGCGCAGAUGGCCACAGAAUAGUGGGCGCAGAGGAUCAGAAAGAUGGGAUUUUGUGUGGAUGAAAGGAAGCGAUUGUUUCCUCUUCCUGCGCACGCAUGAACGAACUGACAAGUUCUUCAACCAUCCAUCUUCCUCCUCUCUUUUUCCUUGGGACAAACAAGCAGCAGGGGGAGAACGAGGCCCGGCAAGGGCACUUGGCCAGCAGGCCGCACGCAGGGGCAGCGGCUGCGCGAGGGAGUAGGGCGAGGGCGCGCUAGGCCUGCACGCCGGGGCGCUGGGGCCUGGGACGAGCUCGCCGGGGCCCACAAGACAUUUUCUAACCUUACGGAACACAAGAUCUCUGGACGGUUUCUUUGUCCUUGCGCACGACGGGCGACAGCGACCAUACCGAAGCUCGCGCAGAGGGCAGGGGCAGAGCUCACGCGUGGGGCUGGGCCGGCUAGCCAGCCGGCUGCCACGCGCAGGAGCUGCUGGCGCGGGGGCAGGGAGUCGCGACCAGGAGCUGCCGAGCCUGGGCAUGCCUGCAGGGGCCUGAGGUCGGCUGGGGGCGAGGCUGGCCAUGGGUGCUGGAAGGAGAGGGAUGGGGCAGGACAUUCCAAGACGGAGCUGCAGCAGCGCCGCUGCGGCCAGGGUGCGCUCGCGAGGAGGCCAACUCGGCCUGGGCCUAUGCUGCGCACGCAGGGGGAGGGGCGCGACAAGCGCACGCCGGAGAUCGGGAUGGGCACCAGUUCAACCUGUUGCACGCGCUAGGAGGGACUCGACCACCAGCGUCGCCGGGGAGCGCUCGCAUCGCUACACAGCACACUACAACAACAAGAAGAAAGACUGCGCCAUGCGCAAGGAGACAUCUUCUGCGCGAUUUGGAUCUGGGGAGGGACACUAGAGAUUAUGGACGGCAGGGUGGUUAUAUAAAAGAGAACGCGGGAGGUGGUUGCCAAUUUCGCUGAGGAUCGCGACAUAACUGGACGAGAGAGGCGGUUGUCGAGCGAUGACUAAAAAGGGAUGGAAUAAUUGUGUGAAGCGACAACCGGGAGUACCAACGUUAGAAGAAAACAAAGUUAGAUGGAGGACAGACAUAGGAAUAGACGGGGUAACAUGCCGAGGGUAGACGCCAAGGGUAGACGACGGGGUAGACGCGACCAACACGACGUUUGUGAGGAGAGAUGUUUUAACGACCCCGCGAAAAGGACAUGAGAUCUAGAACAGACUCGACGAGAGGAAAAAUAUAUAAACAUAUAUUAUUGAGUUUCCAGAAUUUUAUAGUUUUUUCGCAAAUGCUAAAUUUUAGGCAUUUAAAUAAUAUUUAGAAAGAAAAACUGAAAUUCAUAUUUAAUACUCGAAGAAACAUUUCGAGGGUUCCCGAAAGUUUUCCGGAAACAUAAACAAAAUAAUCCGAUAAAGUUUGAAAAUAUUUGCACUUAUAAACACUAUGCAACGACAUGAAUGCAACAAUCAAAGCUUCUCCAGGAUUUUAUUUUACUACACUAACAACUUUUAUAUAUACCUAUUAUAAAAUAAAUUAACUCUCCAUUAUUUAGGAAAAGGAAAAGAAAAUUAUGGAAAAGAGAAGGUAACACCUGAAUUUGGUGGAUAUUAGAAAAGAAAUUUUAUACCCCCAAAUUCAGGGUGUUACAGAUCUAACCCCCUUAACAGGAAUCUCGCCCCCGAGAUUCAAGAAGAAGCUAGCAAGAAAACGAGGUUGGUUCAUAGGUUGUUCAAGGCUUCUUCUGACUCAACUCUGACUCUGGCAGGUUUAACUUGCGGACUGGUUUCUUUGACCUUUAGAUGCUUGAGACCGAUCGAUAUAAUUCUUGAGGAUCCCUUGGACCUGUGGGUUAGGCCCGCACACUCUUUCGUUGCACCACUUUGAUCUUGUCAGUUGAUGUUGAUCACAUUGUCUUCAUUGGGGUUAGCGGCUAACCCCCUUAACAGGAGCGUUGAUAUGCACUUGAUGAAGAUGCUGCCGACUCUGAUCUUAAUUGGUUAAAAGGAGCUGGAGGUUGCCAAUUGCAUAGGUGCGAGAGGGAAGAAUAUAGGUAGAAAAGGUAAGCAUAGAUGGAUUAAAGAGAGAAAAGGAAGAGCACCCAACUACCUAACUCUAUUGCACUCAGCUAGUAAACUGAUGUCAUUGUGGACCAAAGGCCACAAUACAUCAACACUCAUCACAAAGAAUCAAAUCAGUCAUCACACAAAGACAAACAACACAAGCAUACAAUAACAAACAUCUCGUUGCUAUACGCUAAUGUUAACUAGAUGGUGGCCUUUCCUUACAAUGGGGAAACUACUCUAAGACCAUCGAAGGACAAGGGGAAUGAUAAGACAUGCAGGAUAUGGGCAUGAGCUUAAUAAAGGAUGAAGCUAAAGCAAGGAUUGUAACCGACAAGGGAGAGAAUGCAACCAAGGUCAAGAUAGAUAAAACACCAUCCUCAAAUCGAGAUCGAAAAGAUGAUAAUUCAAAAGGUAGGCAUAAGAUAAGCAUCAUGGAAAGUUCUAGAUAUUAGGAAGGUAAGGGUGAUAUUGAACAAAAGCUAAGACUUGCAACACAACAGAGGAAAAGGGGAACAAACAAGAGCAGGAUGGGUAAGACAUCACUUGUUGGGGGCCUUCGUCUUCCGAAGGUCCUCAAAAACAUGAUUUAACAAUGUUUCUGGAGUGUAAUACAUGAACAGGUACCUUCGGACUUGGAUCAGAACCACUGUGAGAAGCACGAAGAAUACGAAGGUUGACGCAGAGCCGAAGCUAUGCGCAAGGGAGCUUCGGCAUGAUAGCAGAAAAAGGAACCGACUUAAAAGGGAAAAGGCUAUUUAGACCUUGAUGGAUCACUAUAGAGUCAUUAACAAAUGUAAAGGGCAUGGAUGUAAUUUUACAUGGGCUGUGUCUCGUGCCUAUAAAUAGAUGAACAGUGCUCCUGUACUGUUCACGCUGACUUGGCAUUUGCUUUUGCGUCACGCUCGUACCUUUAUCUUCUUUCAAGCCGAAGGUACAUUUGUAAUUUGAUGUCAUUUCUAUUUUUCCAUGAUAAUAAAAUAGAAAUGAGCUGAUAAUGUUACAUAUUUGUUCAUGUUAUCUCUUACAUUCCAUAUGAUUCUCCUUUUAUUAUCGUAUACUACAAUGAUGAAGGUAUGUCCUUCAUGACCUUCGUCUGAAGAUCAUUAUAUCCUAAGGGAAAUAAUGCUUCGAAGGACGAAGGACCUUAACAUUUAAUAUUUUGUGUUGCCUUGUUCUUAACUCAUAGCAUUUGAGAACAAGUCCCCAACAUUGGUGCCCACCUCCGGUGAAUCCUUUUCGACCACCUUUGGCAAGCACUGACCUUCGUCAUGCCACCGAAGAAAGCUUCAGCGACAGGGGCUGCCGCUCUGCAGCCGCUGGACCCAAACCAGGAGACCCUUUCUCUUCGAGAGGCCCGAAGCCAGAAGAGGAAGGCCUCUAGUCCAACACCCUAGGAGGAUGAGUUGGACCAAGAAAUCAGAAACAUGGAGAUGCUUCAUCAACAAGUACAAAGGAAGAAGGAAAAGAUGGCUCGACUAGCUGACCUUCAAAGGCAGAUUGACGAAGCCACUAAAGAAGUACGCCAUCUUGCUCAAGAUGAACAAGAACGAAGGCCCCAACACAGGGAGCUUCAUCAAGAAGGCUUGUUCGACGAUGAUGGAUGGUAUGAUGAUUUUAAUCAUGGUACCUUUACUUUUGACGAUGCUUCUCCCUUGGCAGUAGAACUGCAGGCUAUCCCAUGGCCCCCAUCAUAUAAGCCACCUCAGCUUCCAAUGUAUGAUGGGCAUUCAAAUCUGAAGCAGUUUUUGAUGAGUUAUGAAGCAACCAUAUCUUCAUAUGGAGGCAACACAGCUGUCAUGGCCAAGUCCUUCGUCAUGGCAGUUAAGAAUGUGGCCCAAAUGUGGUAUUCUUCUCUUCGGCUAGGAACUAUUACCUCAUGGCAGAAGCUCAAGGACAUGCUAGUGACAAGUUUCCAGGGCUUUCAGACGAAUCCAGUCAUAGCUCAAGCUCUCUUUCAAUGCACGCAAGAUCAUGAGGAGUAUCUCCAAGCAUAUGUCAGAAGGUUCUUGCGCCUGAGAGCACAAGCGCCUACAGUGCCCAAUGAAAUUGUCAUUGAGGCCAUGAUUAAGGGGCUUCGUCCAGGACCUACUGCCCAGUAUUUUGCUAGGAAGCCUCCACAGACUUUGGAGAAGUUGCUUCAAAAGAUGGAUGAAUACAUCUGGGCCGACAAUGACUUUCGCCAAAGAAGGGAGGAAGCCUACAGGUCCUCUGAGAUGACUAGGGGCUUCGGAGGAAGGAUCCACCCAAGGCAUGUCAGGUCAAUCCAUUCCACUCAGAGUGAUGACAGAGGAAGUCAACAACAGAGGCCCCAAUAUUCCUCGCAAGCUUUGGGGCAACAACAAAGCUCUUUCCGGCCGCUAGCUCCAAGAGGCAGAAACGCCAGGGGCUUCGGAGGAAGGUUUGGGGAUCACCCUAGAAAAAUUUAUUGCCUAUUCUAUGGUGAGGACAAGCGCCAUACUACAAGGAUGUGCCAUGUCACCAUUCAGAAACAGAAGGAAAUAGCAGAAGCCGCAGCUCAACAGAACCAGCCGAAGCAGGUCAUGCACACUGCUUCGUAUCACUCGCCAUACAUACCAGAGUAUGUGGGUAACCAUCCUGCAGCUUCUGUUGCUUCGGCUAGCCAGCCACAGGCAUCUUAGCAACAACCUCCACCUCCGCCACCACUACAACCUGUAUAUUCACGAAGCCAGCAGCCAGAAGGGAGCCAACAGACUCAUCAGCAGCGAGACUUCAGGGAGGAGUCCGAAGCUCGCACAGUCAACAGUACUGUGCCAGAAUCGAAGCAUAUCUACUAAGAGAUAUCCUACCCCUGAAACAGUUUUUACAUUCGUUAUAAUUUUCUUUUUUAAUAAGGAACAAUCAUUGAAACCCUAGUUCUUUUGUUGUUUUCAAUUUCUUCAAUUUCCUGUAAUAGCUUCGUUCUUGCCAUAGUAUAAUAUAUCUUCUCCACAGACUCACGAAGUUCAAAAAAAAAGUCGCUGAAGCACAAAAGUCGUUCCUAAGGGAACGCGGGGCUAAAAAUCACAUUACAAGUUUCACCGAAGCUACAAAAAGUCGUUCUAAGGAAUGCAGCGUAAGUUUCACCGAAGCUACAAAAAGUCGUUCCUAAGGGAGCGCAGCGUAAGUUUUCUGCUCAAAAGUCGUUCCAAAGGGAAUGUAGAGCCAAAUACCACCAAAAUAUAAGGCGAAGCGUGAAAAGUCAACGCGAAUACCGCCGAAAUAGAAGGCAAAGAAGUUCAAAAGACGUUCCUAAGGGAAUGCAGAACUUACAACGAAAAGUCAGCGCUGAUACACCGAAAAAUAAGCGGUGAAGCCGAAAAAUAAACGGCAAAAAGAUUGUGUAUUCCACUAUGGGGAUGUGUGUGUGUCUUCGGCACAAAUAUCAUUUUGCAUAGCAUAACAUCAUCACAUCAUUUCGCAUAACAUAACAUCAUACAUCAUGUUGCAUCAAUGGCACAAGAAGGGGAAACAAUGUUGACCUUCGGAGAAUGCUUCGAAAAAGUGAAAUUGUGCUAAGGCACAAAGUAAGUUUUGAAGAAAUACAACUUCAUCAGCUCUGAUGUGGAGGAAAAACCUAUUGUUGACGAAGCAUUAAUGUUUUGGCAAUGCUUGGAGGAUUUUUUACGAAGCACUCUGAUGUGGAGGAAAAAACCUAUUGUUGACGAAGCAUUAAUGUUUUUGCGACGAUUGGAGGAUUUUUCACGAAGCAUAAAAGCUCUUCUUUACGAAGCAUGAAAAGAAGGGAAGGUGUUUUUUCGCCGAAGGCUCAAAAACGGUAUGUACAUAAAAGUUUCAUGCAUCCCAAAGGAAUGAAUUACAAAGCCAUUCAUAUAUUACAUUCAAAACCCAUGAGCACCAAAUAUUACAAGCAUAGUUUAGCAAAUGUUACAUUAAUAAUCUAGCAAUGUUUUUACAAUAACUAUUCUUCUUCUUUCAAAACUUUAUCUGCAGCUUCGGCCAGCAGUUGGGUAACGACUUCGUCUAUAAUAGUUUCGGCCAUGUUAAUAAUUUCUGAUGAUUUCUUUGCCUCUGCUUCGGCCAGUGACUCGAAGGGCUCCGGGGGAGGAGAUAGUUCAGUUGCGAUAGAAAACGUAAAUCAGUUCGAAGUCACAAAAGUAAACAACAAAGUUAAAAAUCAUUAAGUAAUACCUAUUCGUCUCUCAAGCUCCGCAGCCUUUUCAGCUGCUUUUGUUGCUUCUCUAGUGUCAUGAGUAUCUUUUUCGCUCUUCUUUACUAUUUCGUGAGCCAUCCCUCGGCCACCAUUUUCCCAGAUGUCAGUGAAAAUUUUUCCGCCUAUUAAGCUUGCUUCGGCCGAGGGGUCCUUCGUAUCAUCAAUGGAGAAAGUAGCUUCGGCUUGGGCCAAAGUUUUAACAUGUUCGCACCCUGCUUUCUCCAAGAUAGCUGUAACUCCCCUCGCACCAGAGAAGGCACAAACGUCCCCUCGAUCACUAAAAAUUUCCUCAAAAGCUUCGGCUUCGCUGCUGAUCCACUCAAUUGGGCCCUCAGGAUCGCCUCUUAUGAAGUUGUCCUCGCUUGAGUAUGCGCCAACGUUAGCGAAGCUAGUUUUUAUCUUUUUCACGCAAUCCAUAGAUUUUUCAAAGCAUCUUUCCUUGGAUAUGUGAAGUUCUUCAACGUUUUCUCUAAAUGAUUUGUCCACUGUUCGCUAAUUCCUCGUUUAGCUUCUGCGACUGCGCACUUCUCUUUAGCUUCGGCUAGUUGCUUCCGAAGGUCUUCAAUCUCAAUUUUUUGGGCUUCAGAUUGGGUUUUAAAGUUAGCUUCGUCCCUCUUUACUUUGUCCACCAAUGUAAGCAGAAUUUUGUCUUUUUCCAAAGCUUCGUUCCUCAGCUUAAUAACCUAUGUUCGAAGGUUAUUGAGAGCAAUACUGCAACUCUCGUCUUCGGCAUUCUUUUGCGCCCUUAAGGCGUUGCUAAGUAUUAAGCCCUACACGAAAGAAUGAAUGGAUCAAUAUAAGAACCAAAGACUAACUCGAAAUUCAUAAAAUUCCAAAUUCACAAUUUUUGUACCUUCAGACUGUUGUACGCAAGGCUAUCCGCGAGAUCGUCCUUCGUCAUGGCACAAAGGCCAACUUCGAGCUUCGGAAAGCCCAUACUUCUGGCCAUCUCCCGGCAUACAGAUAAUUCUUUGUUGUCUAGGAGGCAAUAUAAGAAGUCAUCUUCGUCUGUGCCAUUAAACACUAAGGCCCCUUUUGGGUAUUUCAGUUCUCGAGCAUAGUGUUUAGCUUCAAAAAUUUCUUCUUCGGAUAAUCUUUUUCCCGAAGCGUGUCGAAUAAUAUAAUCAAGGUCCUCGGAAGACGCUUCGGGAGCAGGAGAGGUAGCUUUUUCAGGCAAAAUCUGUUCUAUACCCUCUUCUUCUGCUGCCUUUUCUCCAGUUUCCGAGGAUUUCUCCUUGGCAGGCACUGAAGGCCCAGCUUCGGCGUCGGCCUGGCUCAGUAUAGCUUCGGCUUCGAUCAGCUUUGUCUCGGUUUCAAUCUGUAUUUUCGAAGCCUUGGCAAUUUUUCCUGGAGUAGAGCUUGAAGUUUUUAUCGUCUCCAGCACAUCUAAUACACUAGCCAUCCUUUUUCUCUUGGGGUUUGCUGCUAGAUCUUUUUGUGUCUUCGGCGCCUCAACUCCUUCCGAAGGGCUUAGAACUUCUGAUGUUUUCGUCUCUUCGGUUCUCGGUUCUUCAAUUUUGUCAGCCUUCGACAUUGCAGCCGACUCUUCAAUCCUCUGUGUAAGAGCAGGUCCUUUGGCUUCAGUAGCCGAAGAGGUUUCACCGCCAAAUUCAGGCACUGUGGCCGGUUCAAUGUAGCGUGGUCGGUGAGUAAGAACCUUCACCUUUUUCCUCUUCGGCGUGGGCUCGCUUGAAGCGGCUGAAGCAACAUCCUUCCUAGAAGUUCCACUCUUUCUCUUCUGCCCCCGUGGCGGGUAGCGAUAGUCAGUGUACAUAAAUCCAAUAGCAUCAAAAACUCUAUUUAGCCUCUUCUUUUUUUGGCUCCCGAAUGCCGCAUAUAGUGCGUUAUCUUCAGACUUGGAGUAUGCUCCAAGUAGUUCAUCACUAGUGUUUUCAACACACUUCAACCAGUCAUCGUCUGGUUCGAUAAUUUGGUCUCCAAACCUGAAGGUAUAUUUUAAUCGAACCAAACCACCUUCACUAGGGUUAGUGAUGGUUUCCUUUGGCAUUUCCCAGUUGUCUAUCAGUGGCCAUAUCCUAUAGGCCACAUGCUCUUGGACUAAAUCCCUUGUCCCGAUGAAAGAGCAAACUGUCCCGAAGGCCCUUCGGCAUCCUUCGACUGCCUCAUCAAUCUCUACCUUCGGCUUUCGGAGGCCGAAGCGUGACCAGAUGGGGCGCAUGAUGAUCUCUUUAAUGUCUUCUCGUGCCUUUAAAUCAUUUUUCACAUAGAACCAUUCUUUCAUCCAGUCUCCGGGCCAUCUCUUCCGAAAAGUUGGCACCGGGCAGCUUGCGCCAGAGCGAGCAACGAAGCUAUAACACCCAAAAUUUUUAUGAUAUUGUUCCUUACCCCAGGGCUUCGUCUCAUACGAAAGCUCGUGCAUACCGCAAAAACAUCUUGCGCUUGGCUCUAAACCUUGACUCCUCACGGCCCAGACGAAGAUCCCCAUUCUAAUAAUUGCUUUGGGAGUAAUCUGGUGAAGGAAAAUCUCAUAUAUCUUUAGAACUUCAACCACAAAUCUGCUUAGGGGGAACCGAAGUCCAGCCUUGAAGAAGCUUCGGUAGAUUACGACUUCAUUUUCUUCGGGAACAGGAACAACCCUGUCUCCGUUGUCAUCCCUCACAAUAGACAUAUCUCGAAAAUACCUUCCUCUCAUAUUAUUAAGAUGACUCUGUUUGAUAGUCGAUUUCCCGAAAACUGCAUGGCUUGGUCGCCAGGGCCGAUCUUUGGAGUCUUCGCCCCCACUUUCUACAUCAUAGCUGUCGCUAUCAUCAGUAUCUUCAUAUAAGCCUUCUAGAAUUUCUUUUUUAAUUUUCUCUGUAUUUGUUUUUGCAAUUGACUCAAUGAAUCCAACAGUCUUUUCCUCAAGGAGCUUCUCCUCUUCGCCCAGCUUUAUCUCAGCAACAACUUUUUUUUUAUCUUGAGACAUCUUAACUUCGGAAAUCACGAAAAUGUGUCCUUAAAUCCGAAGCUUAGAAAAUCUAACAAACUAAGCAACUGUUGGCAAGCAAGAGCUAAGAAAUUAAGCAAAGCAAAGCAGGCGUACCAAAUGUGCUCGGGGUGAGUUCUUAUUUAUACGCCCAACGCGCUCCAAGUUGGAGGGCCCCGUCUGUCAUUGACUGUUGCUAUUCUAGCAAAGGGAAGGUGUUUUUUCGGAUCUUUGGCUUAGGGCCUUCGUCCAUAUCGCAAUCUGAAUUCGUUAUUCUAACAAAUUAACCUUGCGAGGGGCUACUGUUGGGGGCCUUCGUCUUCUGAAGGUCCUCAAAAACAUGAUUUAACAAUGUUUCUGGAGUGUAAUACAUGAACAGGUACCUUCGGACUUGGAUCAGAACCAGUUGAGAAGCACGAAGAAUACGAAGGUUGACGCAGAGCCGAAGCUAUGCUCAAGGGAGCUUCGGCAUGAUAGCAGAAAAGGGAACCGACUUAAAAGGGAAAAGGCUAUUUAGACCUUGAUGGAUCACUAUAGAGUCAUUAGCAAAUGUAAAGGGCAUGGAUGUAAUUUUACAUGGGCUGCGUCCCGUGCCUAUAAAUAGAUGAACAGUGCUCCUGUACUGUUCACGCUGACUUGGCAUUUGCUUUUGCGUCACGCUCGUACCUUUAUCUUCUUUCAAGCCGAAGGUACAUUUGUAAUUUGAUGUCAUUUCUAUUUUUCCAUGAUAAUAAAAUAGAAAUGAGCUGAUAAUGUUACAUAUUUGUUCAUGUUAUCUCUUACAUUCCAUAUGAUUCUCCUUUUAUUAUCGUAUACUACAAUGAUGAAGGUAUGUCCUUCAUGACCUUCAUCUGAAGAUCAUUAUAUCCUAAGAGAAAUAAUGCUUCGAAGGACGAAGGACCUUAACAUUUAAUAUUUUGUGUUGCCUUGUUCUUAACUCCUAGCAUUUGAGAACAAGUCCUCAACAUCACUCUUGAAAUGAAAUGGGAGACACGGCUUUAAAAUGCAGGUACGUGAUAAGUAUCAAGGUAAAGAUCGAGGGAUGACAAGGGUUAAGGUGAUAACGGACAAACACACAAUCAAGGAUGUAUUUUAGACAAAACUUGCAAGGCGUCAAAGAAGGGGAAGCAAUCAAUGGUGAAGUAGGUGAGGCAUUACCCCCGAACAUGGAUGAAAAGAGAAGGCUUCAAAGGGUAGGUUCAAGGUAAGCAAGAAGGCAAGGACAUAGAUAUCACGAGGGUUUUAAAGGUAAUAACGGACAAGGAUGUAGGAGAGGAGGUAAAUAGGAAUAAGAACAAAGGACAUAAUUAGUACUACAAAGGAUGGAGUUAGGACAUGACCUACAAGUGGAAAAGAAGUGGGUACGUCCAAGGGCCAGAUUGGUAAAAUGCCACUCUCAAAUUGAGGUGGAAGAGAGGAGAUUUUUAAAGAGUAGGCAUAAAGAUAAGUAUCAAAGCAAGAUCGAUGGAUAACAAGGUGAUGGUGAUAGCAAAUAAAAAAACACAUCAAAGGAUUGAAUUAAGACAAAACUUGUAAGGUGAUAGAGAGGGAAAAGAAAUCAAGAGAGAGAUAGGUAACUCACAGCUCUCAAACUGGGUUGAAAGAAAGGAGAGGCUUUUAAAGGAUAAGUUCAAAGUAAGCAUUUAGGUAGAAGGCCUUGCAAGGGUCAAAGGCGACAGCAGACAAGGGUAUGAGAGAAAAGAUGAAGGCAUUGAAGAGCCAGUGGUAUGAGUACAACAAAUAAUGGAGUCACGUCCAAGCUUACACACGGUAAAGAAGAGGAUGUUGUCAAGGGUGAGAUAAGUAAAACACCGCUCCUGAACUAGGAUGGAAAGGAGAAGGCUCCAAAGGCUAGGUUCAAAGUAAGCGUCAUGGUAAAUAUAUAGGUAUUACAAGGGUUGAAUGCGAUAACAGAAAAGGGUGUAAGAGAAGAGGUAAAGGUAUAGAAGAACCAAGGGUAUGAGUACAACAGAGAAUGGUGUUAAGGCAAGAUUUGCACGUGGAAAAGAUGAGAAAGGUAAAGGUACUACCCAACCGGAGCACAACAAAGGAUGAAGUUAAAAACUCGCAAGCGACCAGGAAGAGGAUACGACCAAGGGAAAAGUAGGUAAAAUUCAACUCUCAGAUUGAGAUGGAAGAGAGGGGAUUUUAAAGGACCAACAUAAGAUAAACAUCAAGGUAAGAUAUAGAGGUGAUAAGGGUAAAGGUUAUAAUCACGUAAGCAUAACCAAGGAUAGAGUUAAGGCAAAACUUAUGAAGUGGCGAACUGGAUAAGGCAACCCAGGGUGAGUUAGAUAAGGUUCCAACAGGAUGGUUGAAGUAGCAGAAAUUAUUACCGAGGGAUGUUAUAAGGGGACAAUGAGAUCAUCAAGGAUGUGUGAAAUAGAAUGAUCACUCAUGGGUCAUUAAGAAACAAGGGUGGCCAAGGACAUGUUAACUGAAAUAACAUUUGUUGGGGUAUGAAAAAUAAGCAUACAUAAGAAUAUAAGAAUAUGUAAGAUUCCAAGGAUGCAGGCAUACCAAGACAAGGGAAUAGAAAAGGCCAAAGGAUAACAAUUUAACGACAGAAUAAGAAGGGGUCUUAGAAGACAAGAAGUUCAUGGACAUAUAAACUAAAAAGUUUAAGUAGGCAAUACAAAUUAUGAUGUAAGCAUUUGAAACAAGAGUAUUGAGGAAUCUAGGGUUAUGGGCAUGUCAAUACCAAGCGAAUAGAGAUGGUCAAAUGGUAGCAAUUUAAUAAUGGAAGAGACAAGAAUCACAAAAGACAAGAAGGUUAUGGUCAGGGGCAUCUACAAGGAUGUCGCAAGCACAAGAGUGAGAUCAGAUCUAAUAGAUUGAGAGAAGUAUAGACCAUACUAGAAUAAAAUACUUUUGGCAAGGGGGCAUAUAGGAGCACAACAUAAAAUUAGUCGAGGUGACUAAUAUUUUGAAGCAGAAUCAAGGAUGAGGUGAAGUAAUAAUCAAUAAGUCCUUAAAACAGCCAAUGCUACUCUAGGUCAGCGGUCCUACAGUCAGCACGGCUUUGAUACCACUUAUGUCACACCCGGUUUUGAAAGGUAAACCGAAUGCGAACCAUGUACGUGCCAGGAUCAGGAAUUCACAUACACGGCGAUUACAUAAAUGACUCAUCAUAGCACAAUGCUUCGAAUAACAAUAAAGAGUAAGUAAUAAUAUGAAAGACUAGAGUCAUUUAUAUAAUAUAAUCAAAGUACACAGAAUAGAAAUGUAGCCAACGUAAAUUAACCCACCACAAGCAGCUGACUGGGGGAGGUCGCUAGCCUAAUCCUCGAACUCGUCGAAGUCCUGGAACCCCUGGAGAUUCGCCUCGACACCUUCUUCUUUACCUGAGCAUAGAUUGCACCAAAGGCAACCUGGUGUUUUGUGAAAGCAAGGGUGAGUACACAUCAACGUACUCAGCAAAUGUCCCGUUUGGCUGAGGUGGACUAGCUUUAUGUGGGGUUAAGCUCAAGCAGUUGCUUUUAGUUGGUUAUGUAUUUAUUAUUAGUGGAAACCAAAUUUUAGCAAUAACCAACCCGUGAGCCAUUUCCUCAUCGAGGAACAACAUUAUCAUCGUUGAACCAAAAUCAUUAAUAGAACCAUUGAAUCUCAGAUCAUCUGUAUCUCUAAUCAAAGAGGAUCCCAAGGCCGUUCAUAACCGUGAGCACGACUGAUAUAUCAGUUUCUAAUCCUCUGUAGAGGUCGCACACUUUACCCACGAGUCAUGAUUCCCUUUCUGCCCGGGGAGAGCUAAUCCCCUUUGACCACUACCUAGGUGGCCUAGCAGGGUAUCACUACGUAGCCUUUACAAAGACUCUCCUGGUGCAUAGCUGCUCGUUAGGUUUCGCCAGUCGUACAAACGCAGUACACCUCCCCAAGGUGGGUGACUAACAAAACCAAAUCGAAAGAACCUCUGCACCCCAACCUUGGCAGAGCGAGCACUACGCCCCGGUCCCCAUUGACGGCCCUCCGGCAAAGCCAACUAUACCCCCAGGUUCAUCUAAUUAAUCAGCUAAGGGCGUCCCAUUCCACCCUCAUGGCUGCACUGUUAUCCCGGGUGGUCACUCCACGAACAGGUCCUUACGGAGAGGUACUCAGGGAAAAUGGCCCGAGUCCCCUAAAAUAUCACAAUAUCCUCAUCGGGAUAACAUCAUCGUAUCAUAAAUAUUCACAUCAUGUUCAUUGAUUAAAUUAGAGCAAUAGCAUGAAGCUAACCAUAAUAACCCAAAAGGUAAUCAAGGACAAGGUAAAUAGAGACUAGUCGGUCCUUAGGUUUCAAUAAUGUAAUGCGGGACAAUGAAAUAUAAGUGAGUAGGACAUAAUAGGUCAGAGGACACUUGCCUUCACCAAACAGAUGCUUAGGGUCUUCAACUCUGUAGAACUCGAAGAGCUAUAUCACUUGGUCGCCAACGCUUGAUCCUCGAUUCCUCGAAGCUUGGAAAUGGAUCGCAAUCUAUUCGCGACGCAAAGCGAAGACAAACAGGCACAAGCAAACAAACAUAUAUAUGCAUAAGAACAUUACACCAUUCAAAGAGAAACAUAAUAAAACAUGCAAUACGAAAUAGAGCGUGCUACUAUGGUCACACGAGGAAAAGAAACGUUGAACUCGAAGCUACGGUCAAGAAGUUAACGGGUUUAUGCUAAACAAAUAUUAACUAUAACAUUUAAUUCGGUGUUAUUAAAUAUAAAUUAUAACUAUUAUUUAAUUAAAGUGAGGGAUUCUAAGCGAGGUGAUUUUAUGACACGCGAAACAGCACGGCCACACGCGACCUAGCGUGAACGUGACGACGGUGAACCAAACACAACAGCAUGCAAAUGACGCGCGGACACGCGCGACAUAGCACGCUGACGACAACUGAAACAGCGCGCGCGACCAGCGCGAACGAGCACGCCACCACGUGCGAAACAGCACGACAGGCGAGGAAAACUAAAUAGGUGACACGUUUAUACUAAACAAAUAUUAAAUAAAUAGAAAGUAGUUAAGUUAAUAUUUUCCAUGUUAAUAUUUAUUAUAAAAGUCCAAGAAGAACACUACACAUUUAAUCUAAUUAGAAUAUUAAUCUAAUAAAUAUUAGUCGAGCAAACAUUAAGUUAAUUUUCUAAAAUAUAUGACCUGACGAACUAACAUCACUAACAUGAGUGUUUAUAAGUGGCAAACUAUUGAUUAUCACGCGCAGACGCCGGGCGACACACGUGAUCGACAUGCGAGAUACACGUUAAUGACGCGCGACAAGGUAAGCGACACGUGUAAAUGGCACACGCAACGCACGGACACGACGUGUGACGACACGCGACACUGUACGAGACAGCGCGCGGACGGCACGCGAAACAACGCGCACGACAGCGCGGAACGAUGCGCGAACGACACACGACGACUUGACACCGAACGACACAACGUAAGAGAAUUAUUAAGUUACGUCGUGCCUAUACUAAACAAAUAUUAAUUAAAACAUUUGAGUAGAUAUAAUCCUGUUAACAGAUAUAAAUAAAGUGUGGCUAAAAGUAUAAAUUAGUUUAACUAAACUACUACUUUAAUGACUCGGAUAAAUAAGUAAAUAAUCAACUAGUUAAUUAAAACACGCCUUGCGAUGAAAUAAUGUUACUAACAUGUUGGUGACGAGGUUACGAAGUUAAAGCGACCGAAACGAAAUAGAAACGGCUUUAUGGCACAUUAUAAAUGAAAUAGCUAACAAUUCAUGGCUAAUGAACAAUUUUAUUAAGGCGUGCGAAUCGCGACUCGCGUGAACGACGACAUGUGAACAGCACAUACGAACGUCGUGUGGACACAAGUGACACGUGAGGGAAGGGUGGUGAUAGCGUACGGGAACAAUACAGGUGGGUAGUGUGCGGACAACACGCGACAUGCGCGAGUGACGCGCAAAGCAGCACACGAGCGACGCGCGAUCCAGCACGCCAUCGCGCAUGGAACAACAUGCGCGACAUGCGAGAAGUAUUUAAGCAAAGGACACGCAUACACUAAGCAAGUAUUAAUUUAAAUCAUUUGAGUUGGCAUUAACCAAAUUAACGCGUACUAAUAAAAACACCUCUUAAAACUAUAAAUUAGUUUUAACUAAGUUGAUCUUUUAAAAACCAACAGAUAAAUAAAUAAUUAAAUAAUUAACUAAAGUAUGUGUUACGAUAAAACAACUUUUUUAAUAUGUACAAGACAUCACUAUGAAACUAACGCAGCUGAAACUGUACAAAACGAAUUUAUAACACAAGCGUUAAUGCGUAAUUAAUAAACAACGGAUUAAAGUGAUGUGGCUUAUUCUGAUUGGCCGAGGGGCUGGUCGCGCAGAUGGCCACAGAAUAGUGGGCACAGAGGAUCGGAAAGGAUGGGAUUUUGUGUGGAUGAAAGGAAGCGGUUGUUUCCUCUUCCUGCGCACGCACGAACGAACUGACAAGUUCUUCAACCAUCCAUCUCCCUCUCUUCUUCCUUGGGACAAACGAGCAGCAGGGGGAGGACGAGGCCCGGCAAGGGCACUUGGCCAGCAGGCCGCGCGCAGGGGCAGCGGCUGCGCGAGGGAGCAGGGCGAGGGCGCGCUAGGCCUACACGCCGGGGUGCUGGGGCCUGGGAUGAGCUCACCAGGGCCCACAAGACAUUUUCUAACCUUACGGAAUGCAAGAUCUCUGGACGGUUUCUUUGUCCUUGCGCACGACGGGCGACGACGACCAUACCGAAGCUCGCGUAGAGGGCAGGGGCAGAGCUCGCGCGUGGGGGCUAGGCCGGCUGGCCGGCCGGCUACCGCGCGCAGGAGCUGCUGGCGCGGGGGCAGGGAGUCGCGACCAGGAGCUGCCGAGCCUGGGCGUGCCUGCAGGGGCCUGGGGUCGGCUAGGGGCGAGGCUGACCAUGGGUGCUGGAAGGAGAGGGAUGGGGCAGGACGUUCCGGGACGGAGCUGCAGCAGCGCCGCUGCGGCCAGGGUGCGCUUGCAGGUGGAGGGGCCUAUGCUGCGCACGCAGGGGGAGGGGCGCGACGAGCGCACACCGGAGAUCGAGAUGGGCACCGGUUCAACCUGCUGCACGUGCUAGGAGGGACUCGACCGCCAGCGUCGCCGGGGAGCGCUCGCAUCGCUACACAACACACUACAACAGGAAGAAGAAAGGCUGGGAGAGAGAGAGAGAAUGAGAGGGCUCACCUGGAACCGCCAUGCGCAGGGACGACAGCUUCUGCGCGAUUUGGAUAUGGGGAGGGAGACUAGAGGUUAUGUGACAGCAGGGUGGUUAUAUAAAAGAGAACGAGGGAGGUGGUUGCCAU